rnacentral:lncRNA from 1 species
UACGGGGAGACCUAAAUCGUGACUCAAUUUGCCCUUUGAUAGAGAGGAUACAAGCGUGCUAAGGCUUAGAAAAAGCCACACUCGUCUAUAUCCCAUAUUUAAGGGGACUCUCAGCAAAUGAACCCUAUAACUAGCAUGAAAUGCAAAAAUCCUAAAAUGGAGGGAAAGGGGGUUCGAGGUGCAUGCAAAUGAUAAAACUAAGAAAAAAUGCAUGAAAUGAAGUGAAACAUGCAAACAUGUACUAAUGAAAAGGAAAUGGACCUAUUGGGUCUAGCGUUGGACUAGCCCUCUAUGAGUUCCUACUAGCGUUGGACUAGUGGAACGGAACAAUGAACCACAGCUAGCGUUGGACUAGUGUGGUGGCGUACAAGGGCCACAACUAGCGUUGGACUAGCGUGGUGACGUGCAUUCAUCCAUCACAUUCAUUCAAGGCUAUGGAAAGCGAGUAGGCAUAUCAAAAUUCAUAAACACGUAGCAUGUAACACUUAGCAUGCUCGACUAGAUGCAAGGCCCUAAUAAAGCAAGUAACAUGUAGCACAUGGGCAUGCAACCAAGCUAAUGAACCUAUUACAUUCACUAACUAAAACAAAAGGGGAAGAGGGAGAAUGGACCAAAUUGCUCGCCAAAACCCUAUCUAUUACAAGCCAAGAGGUGUACACAUACCCCAUAAAGCUUAAAUAAAAGUAAAAAGCAACUAAAUGCACGCAAGGAGGUAAGGAAAGCGGAGUAGGCAUGCAUAUUCACAUAACACGUAGGAGCACGUAAGGUCAAAUGUAGUGCAAAUGAAGGAUAGAGUGUACCUCCCUUGAAGCGACGCCCUAACGUAGUGAAAUUACUAACUUACCCUCCAAAAUAAUAAAAAGGUCAAGGUACCACUUAAAUUAUCAAAUAAUCACAUGAAACAAAAAUUAAAUAUGAAAAAUGAAAGUUAAACACUAAAUUGAGUCAAUUAAAGUAUUACAUAGACAAACCAACUAUGUACAAAGCAAUUAAUGCAAGAGGGACUUAAUUAGAAGGACAUGGAAAUUUCUAAAAGAGAGUAAAAUAAAAUACCAAAAUUGAUGAAUUAAGAUGAGACCCAUAAAAAUCAAAUGCCAAAAAAUGUGUUUAGAACACAAAUCCAAGCUAAAAAUUCUAUUAGAACUUAUUGAACCUCAAAAUGCAUCCUAAAACUCACUAAACGCCUUACCCAAAUCAUGUCAAAGCAAACCAAAAGCAAUUAAGAUAAAAUUGAUUAAAUUAUUCAACUAAUUGGGCCAUAGCAAGACAAAAGGGAACUUGGGGGUCAAAAAAUGCAAUUUUCUGAAAGCUUUCCAUGCAAACUCAUGCAAAUCAACGUGAAAUGGCCUGCAACAAGAAAACAUUUCUGCAAUCAAGAAGAUCAACGUAACUUGCAUUUUCACAUGCCGAUAUCAGCUUUAACACCCAANNNNNNNNNNNNNNNNNNNNNNNNNNNNNNNNNNNNNNNNNNNNNNNNNNNNNNNNNNNNNNNNNNNNNNNNNNNNNNNNNNNNNNNNNNNNNNNNNNNNNNNNNNNNNNNNNNNNNNNNNNNNNNNNNNNNNNNNNNNNNNNNNNNNNNNNNNNNNNNNNNNNNNNNNNNNNNNNNNNNNNNNNNNNNNNNNNNNNNNNNNNNNNNNNNNNNNNNNNNNNNNNNNNNNNNNNNNNNNNNNNNNNNNNNNNNNNNNNNNNNNNNNNNNNNNNNNNNNNNNNNNNNNNNNNNNNNNNNNNNNNNNNNNNNNNNNNNNNNNNNNNNNNNNNNNNNNNNNNNNNNNNNNNNNNNNNNNNNNNNNNNNNNNNNNNNNNNNNNNNNNNNNNNNNNNNNNNNNNNNNNNNNNNNNNNNNNNNNNNNNNNNNNNNNNNNNNNNNNNNNNNNNNNNNNNNNNNNNNNNNNNNNNNNNNNNNNNNNNNNNNNNNNNNNNNNNNNNNNNNNNNNNNNNNNNNNNNNNNNNNNNNNNNNNNNNNNNNNNNNNNNNNNNNNNNNNNNNNNNNNNNNNNNNNNNNNNNNNNNNNNNNNNNNNNNNNNNNNNNNNNNNNNNNNNNNNNNNNNNNNNNNNNNNNNNNNNNNNNNNNNNNNNNNNNNNNNNNNNNNNNNNNNNNNNNNNNNNNNNNNNNNNNNNNNNNNNNNNNNNNNNNNNNNNNNNNNNNNNNNNNNNNNNNNNNNNNNNNNNNNNNNNNNNNNNNNNNNNNNNNNNNNNNNNNNNNNNNNNNNNNNNNNNNNNNNNNNNNNNNNNNNNNNNNNNNNNNNNNNNNNNNNNNNNNNNNNNNNNNNNNNNNNNNNNNNNNNNNNNNNNNNNNNNNNNNNNNNNNNNNNNNNNNNNNNNNNNNNNNNNNNNNNNNNNNNNNNNNNNNNNNNNNNNNNNNNNNNNNNNNNNNNNNNNNNNNNNNNNNNNNNNNNNNNNNNNNNNNNNNNNNNNNNNNNNNNNNNNNNNCAAAAAAUUAUUAAAAAUAAUUAUUCCCAAACACACUCAUUAUUUGGGAUAUUUGUCUUUAAAAUGAAUUAUGUAAUAUGUUAUUUUUUAAGUCCAUUUUAUAACUUGUAGAGUUUGGGGUCAUAAAUUUUUAUUAAAAGAUUCCAAAUAAAUUUGUUUUAGAGAAAUAAAAAAAAGAUAAAAUUGACAAAACGUUUAUAUAUUAUAAGUAAGUUAUUUUAUGAACAUAUGGUGAAGUAGCCUGGUGGUAAGCGUGCUGUUGCAUUGGCCAGAGGUCUAAGGUUUGAAUUCUAGCAAAGUAAUAAAAUUUUUCUACAAAACCCGAUUCGUUGACAAAAUCGGCUGGGUUUCCGGUUUAAUCCGGUCGAACCACCUAUCCGUUGACUAGUCAACGGUUUGAUUGCUCAAACGAUCUAAUUUAAAACUCAGCCCGAUCCAAUGAUCGGUUCGACCAUCGGGCCGGGUCGGGUUUAAUAACUAUGACUGUUCCCUUACUUUGACCAUGGCAAGUUAAAGGGCUACAACAUUAUCCAUCAGGUUAUUCCCUCCACCAAACUCUUUAAGUGCCCGCUAAGCUAUCAACUGAUUAUUUCUAUUCAUUGCAAGUAUACCAACUCUUUGGUUCUCGCUAUCGCUACAAUCAUCUUGUAUUGUCCCAGCUGUUGUUGUUUCUGGCAUGCUCAUCUUGUUCUCUUUUGCAUUUGCUUUCUAAAAUUCUAGCCACUCUACUUGAGCUUUCUGGAUUAUCUUGAUUGGUAGUCUUCUGUUUUCUUGUAAAACUUUCUCAUUUCUUGCCUUCCAAAUUUGCCAAAGAAUGUUAACAAUCAAUGCUAUAUGUUCCAUUCCUUCAGGUCUAUUUCUGGCUUCUGUUAGAACAUUCCACCAUCGGCUGAAGUUCCCUCUUUGGUCUUCAAUUCCGUCCCAUUUCACCAGUGAUAGCUUCCAUACUUCCUUAGCAUUUCUGCAGUGAAAGAGUAGGUGCUCCAUUGUUUCUAUGUCUUCAACAGAAUUUCAACAUAUUGGAGACCCUUUCUUUGUCCUACUGAAUACUACUUCAUUAACAGGCAAUGCUUCAUUCAAGCACUUUUAGAUGAAAAUUUUCAACUUAUGCUUUACAUUGAGUUUCCACAAAUGUUUCCAUAGAUGUUCCUCUCCCAAGCUUGUCUCCUUUCCUUCUUGUUCUUGCUACCUUUGAUUGCCUCCCUACUUGUUGAGUGCUUUGUUUCUUGAUGCCACUGUGUACUGGCCAUAUGCACUAUGUAUUCAAAAGUGACUAUCCUUUCUAUUUGCCAAGCUUAUAGAUAUUCUCAAUACUUUCUUGACCUCUUCUGCAUUAAGCAAUCUAAACACUAAGGGUUUUUUCCAUCUAAAAUUCUAGAUUAGGUCCUCCACUUUUUGUACUUGGCAAUCUUGGGGUUUCACUGAGACAGGCUUUCCCUGGGGUUAUCUUGUAUCCAGCCGUCCUCCAAGAUUUUUGUACUUCUCCCAUUUCCAAUUUUCUUCCUAAUCCCUCGCUGAACAUCUUUCCUCACAGCCAUUAAGCUUUGCUAGAUCUAUGAUGCAUUGUUAUGGGCCUUGCAAUUGAAUAUUGUCUCCCUCGGAUAGUAUUUUGCUUUCAUCACUAUACCAACCAAUGCAUUUGGCAUUUUUAGUAGCCUUCAAAUUUGCUUUCCUAGUAAAGCUUUGUUAAAGUUCUGCAAGUCUUUGAAACCUAGGCCCCCAUUCCUUUUGUUCGAAGCUAGUUUUUGCUAGGAGCACCAGUGCAUCUUCCUUCUCUUAUUUCCCUCUCUACACCAAUAGUUAGCCAUCAUUUUGCUUAUUUCUUUACACAAUCCAACUGGCAGUUUGAAGCAUGACAUUGCUUCAGGAGAACUUCUUUUCUAGUAGCACUCAAUAGUUUAUUUUUCCAUUGUUGCAUUUUAUUUUCACAGCUUUCCUUGAUGAAGUUGAAAACUUGCUUUUUGGAUCUAGAUAUUACCAUAAGUAAUCCUAGAUAUCUUUCCUGGGUCACUGUCUGUAUGUUGUUGAAUUUGUUGUAGAUCUCCUUCUGCUGUUAUUGAGGAACAUUCUUGCUGAAGAAGAUAGAAGAUUUAUCUAGAUUAAUCACUUGGCCUGAUCCUUUCUCAUACCUUCUCAAAAUCUCCCUGAGUUCUUCUGCUUCUCUAGGAUUUGCUUGCUAAAAAUAUGGUAAGACCAAAUUUUUCCGUUAGCUCAUUUAGAACUUCAUUAUUCACAGAAGCAGGGUUCAAUGACUUAGAUUCAGCCAACCUUGCAUAAGCAGUAGCUUGGCUAUGCAUGUUAGAUAAGGCUGAGGUUCGUGAAUUAUAAUCCUAGGAAAGACAUAGUUUGAACCCUAUUGAUAAAACUUGGUGCUAAAAGAAACAUUGAAUGGUUUGUAAAUAAGGAAAAAAAAAGAUAUUUCAUGGGGCUAGAUAUGCUACGUGUGGUAUUGCUUAGAUGCAAAAAAAAAAAAUAGUCCUCAAUAAUCGAAACAAGAUUAAGCUCUUAAUGGUAAUCCCCUAGAAGAAACUCCGAAAUGUACUUAAAAAUGUAAUUACCCUAGAAGAAACUUUAAAAGGUAGUUUUGUGUAAUGAUGAGAGUUCCAGGAGCAGAGGACAGUUCUGAACUUUGAUAGACAUUCCUGAUCAGGUUACUAGCUUAGGCCUCAAUCUGUCAAAUUUUGCUCCCACUCCUAACAACCUUUCCUGGCACACGCUCAACACCCUAUCACCCCAGCAAUUAAUUUGCAGAACAAUUAGGGUACAAGCUAAAUGCAUAGUAGAGCACAACACAUACUAUCACACCUGUAACAUUUGUAACCACGGGGGUUUGCCCAGUGAUUAAAGAAAUGUUUAACACUCUCAGAGUUCUCCCCUCUGUCAGGUUCAAAGUUCGAAUUCUGAGCUUGACAAUGGGAGGUGAGAAGGGUGUGGAGACAUGUGGGAGGAUAAAAUUAAAGAUUAAAAAAUAAAAUCUGUCAUAUGACACAACACACUUGACUGACUAAAUAAGCACAAAUACAAGAUUGUAUCAGAUUAUGUAUUCCCAUUUUCCAGAUGAACAUGUAUUUAGAUAUAACUCACUAAGGUAAGUUUACAUUCCAUCAUAUAAGUUCCACAGAUACUUGAGAUGCAAGUGUAACAUCUAGAAAUAAAUUAUAAGUAUAUCCAUCCUUAAUAUUUGAACAAUCAAUUUAAUCAAAUAGUACAUUGCUGUGUUAUUAAUACAUAGCAACUUAUUUAUGCAUUACAACAACAAAUAUGACAUCAAUGUAAACAGAACCAUACAGAAGACACUAAUACUUAUGACAGAGAUCAUUAGCCUGACCAUCGGUCUGAAUCUCCAACCACGAAGAAGACUCCUCAAUUUCUUCUGGCAACCAUCCGUCUGAAUUUGCAUCUGACCAUGAAGAAGACUCCUCAAUUUCUUCUAAGAUAAGGAUUUUCAUAUCCAUGUUUCCAUAAUCCUUCUGUUGUUCCUCAAUAUCUUCAAAUGAAUUCCUAUCCAAGUAUGGACAUCGAUGCACCUCAAUCAAUUUAAGAGGUGAUUCCCCUAAACAAGAAGGUAGCUUUUGCAAUUUCUUACAAUCAUCCAAAACUAAUUUUUCAAGACUGGGAAAACAAUGUCGUAAACCUUUCCACCUAAACUAUCUCCAAGGAUUUCAAUUUCAAGAACUUGAGUUCAGGGAAGAAUUCCUUCUUUUCCAUAUUUUCCAAUUUCUUCACUAUCUUCCAUGUUUUGACUGUCCUGUUUCUCUUCCCCAUCAGCUUGUCGAUUUAAUCUCAGAACUUGAAAGAUUGGGUAGCUUUCUAGUUGUGGAAUUAUACACCAGGAAAAUUCCUCUAGGGUCAAUUUUUUUAGACUGGAGGGGAGACGGAGUUCAACACAAUGCAUAGUCACUUUACCUAGAUUCAGUUUCAGUGAUUCCAGAUGACUCAAAAAGUUCAUUACCACGACCUUAUUGCUGUCUGCAGUAAAUUUUGUUGAUUCCACGAGACAGCAUUUUAGUUGACGGAUAUUUGGAAACUUCCUGAUCAUCUUUUCCAUGCGUUGCCCUAGAUAAAGCUUCAUAGUUGAAAAAGUGUCUAAAUUAUUCAAGAUGGAGAAGCUGUCAAGGUUAUCAUUGGCCAAUCUAAUAUCAAUCAAAGCACCAUACACAUGUAGAUGCCUCAAUUUUUGCAUCUUUAGAAGAGUAUCUUGCAACAAAGAAAGACCAACAUCAUCCCUUGUUCUCACAAGAAAAGUUUCCAAAUUUGAGAGCUUUUCUAGUGAGGAUGGAAUGCCAUUCUUCAGCCAACUUAGAAUUGCCAAGUACCUCAGCUGAACAAGCGACCAUAAUUCCCUCGGGAAAUCAGAACCUAGACUAAUAUUUUCCAAGUCUAGCACUUUAAGAAGUUUCAGGAGAAAAAUGAAAUGAAAAUUGCACGAGAGUUGGCAGACCUCAAUAUCUCUAGAUGAAUAUAAUAGAGAGUGUAUAUGGGGACAAAUUAUCUUAGAUUUUAUGAAAUGCCUUGGUUGAGCUUGAAUAGAUAAUUGACAUGGGUUGUACAACCCAUCAAAUGUAAGAUCCUCAUCAUAUCCUCGUACCAAUUGUAGAAAAUUUUGUUUUUUGGCUUUUCUUACACAAAAGACAUGCAACGAAUCAUGAAUGCGACAGGUCUUGAUCUCACCUGUUUAUCUUCGUUGCCCCUCCAUAACUAAGCUUCUGUUGAUUAGAGCCCUUAUAUAGCCUUCUGUUGUUUUCUCUAGGCACUCCGACUCACUCUUCUGCACAAAUCCUUUAGCGAUCCAUAACCAUGUCAACCUCCGAACACAAAUCGAAAGGCUCCAAAGUAAAAAAUGCACCGUUUCAAAUGGUUAGGCAGAUGCCUAUAACUCAGUUUUAGUAUCCUGUGACAUUGUUCUGUGGCACCAACCAUUGUAGUUAAACUUAUCAUUUUUGUGACUUCUUCCCAACCAGCUUCAUCGAGAGUUGCAAGGAUACUAGAUAUAAUGGCAAUCGAUAGAAGCAUCCCAGUACAAGUUUUUGCUAUUUUCCACCCAAGAAGAUUUUGUUCUUGAGAAUAGCCUCCUUUUCUAAUAACUACCGGCUUCUUCUAUAGUAAUUCACAGCUUUCUGAUUCAUUAAGUGUCCUAAGAUUAUAAGGUUUGCCAACAAUAUUAGUAAGUCGACUUGUUAAAGAGUAUUCGGCUUCCAUUGUUUUUCUCUGGGAAUGAAGAUUUUAAAGCAUUCCACACUUCGACGUCCCAAACAUCAUCCAAAACUAUGAGAAACCUUUGUCCCAACAAGCGUUGCCAGAGUUCAAGAGCCAAUUGAUAUUCAUCCUUCUCAGAAAAUUGAGUUUUCUGAUCAAUGCAAGCCAAAAUCUGAAACAACAAAUUUUUCUUGCAAUAUGUUUGGGAGAUACAACUCCAUGCUUGAAUGUGGAAGUGAGAUGUAACUCUAGGAUCACGGUAAACUCUUUGUGCCAAAAAUAUCUUGCCUAGUCCAGUUACGCCCACAAUGGAGAUGAUGUCCAGCUGCUUUAGACCUUUUAUAAGUUUAUCAAUCACUGCUUGCUCCACAUCCUGCAACACCUCCUCAGCUUUAUAGACUGUUGAGAUACUACCCAAUGAUGACACCUGGUAGGAUGCUACACUCGUCUUGCUUCUCAUUGUUUCUAAAAAAAUUAGGAAGAGAAUGAAACAUAAUUAAUAAAAAAUGGAGAGCUAACAUUAUUGUGAUCCAUGUUGAGAUAUUAUCUUGUGGUAUCGGAUGCCUCAAACUCUUGGCAGCUUCUUGGACUUCACUUUUAACAUGCUUAAUUUCUUCUGCGACUUCAUCAAAUAACAUCAGAGGAUCGAAUGUUAUCAAAUAACAUCAUGGAAUAGAAUAAUAUGAAAUAUAGGGUUAAUCACAAGAAGUCUCCUUCAAGCAUGCCCCAUUUUUCAGUUUACCCCUAACAUUUUUUUGGUCUCACUUUAUCCCUUAUUGGACAAAAUUACCCCUCCAUUAUUCUAAAUUCCUACUAGACAAAAUAUUUGUUGCAAUAUUUCCACGUCAAUGUUUAAUUAAUCAAUGACUUUCUUGUUCGACAUUUUCUUUUUUCCCCAUUAUUCAACUUUAAUUUUAGUUUAAACGUAGCCUUCAGCCUUCUUUCUUGAUUCCAGAAUGCAAAGAAAAGUAUGAUCUUUACUGAAAUUCAAUAGUAAUUAGGAAAUAAUUAGAGCCCAAAAAUAUUUCAGAAAAUUGAAAGCAGCUCAUACUUUCUGGUUGACAUACCCAACAUGUGUGGAUUUUUUUUAGUCUCACAAAUUUCAAAUGUUGCCUUACGAUUAAAUCUACUAAAUUUGUUCUUGAUGCUAAAAGUUGUUGGUGAAUUGCAUGAAUUUCUUUUUCUUCAAGCAUUUGUAGAGUUUUUUCAACUAAAUUAGAGUUUUUCUUUUGAAUCUUGAGCUUUCUUUAUCAAUGCAAGCCAAAAUCUAGAGCAACAAAAUUUUCUUGCAAUAUGUUUGGGAGACACAACACCAAACAAGAAUGUGAAAGUGAGAUGUAACUGAAGGAACAUCGUAGAUUUGUUGUUCUAGAGUUGCCUUACCUGGAUCAGGCAUACCCACAAUGGAAACCAUGUCCAGAUGCGUUGAUCCUCCUAUAAGUUGAACAAUUUUUGCUUGCGCCUCAUCCUUCAGUCUUACCACAGCUUUGUUGUUAUGAGAUACCAGCCUCUGAUGGCACCUGAUAUAGUGCUUCAAUAGUCCGCUUAUUGUUUGUUGUUUUCAAAACCAAAUAAAGAACAACAUAAUUAUAAAUUUUGGAGCACCAAUAUAAUCAUCUAUUCCAUGUCAUUGAGAUAUUACCUUUUGACAUCUCGAUUGCUUUCUGGGCAAAGUUAAGAAUUUCUUCUCUGACAUUAUCAAGUAACAAUAGAGAAUAAAAUGAUACAUCUCCAACUAUUAAUGAGUCGAUAACAAACUUGCCUUGUAUGCCACUUUCACAACAUGACUCUAAAGAGUUUCGAGCUCCUUCAUGGUAGUUGGGAUGCUUCCUAUUUCUUUCCAAAAAUGAUCUUAAGAAUACUAGAUCAUCUUGCGUUGCUUGAAGUUGGAGCUUUUCAUUCUGUUUGUGCUGCUUCAAAAUUUUUCCAAGAAUGACCUUAGGAAUGAAAGAUCUUGCAUGUUUCGAGGUUGAAGCUCAGGACACCUGUUGGAUGCUCCACAUUCUUUUCUAAGUGUGAUCUUAAGAAGUCAGACUGUCCUUUGCAAAAGAAGAUACUGAUCAACUUUAUAACUUGCUAGUUCCUUCAAUUUAUCUAGAAGGUGACCGAUAAUCCCUAGACAUUAGUGGUAGGGAAGUUGAACCUUGGCACUACAGGAUAACUUUCGUUAAAGGUGCCUUGAUAGUGUUUAUAUUCCCCAACAAAAUAAAAGAGCUUAAUAUCUAUUUCCUUGGCCAAAGCUUUUGGGAUAUUAUAUUGAGGAAGUGAGAAAAUUACAACCCCAGCAUCAUUGACCACAGCUCCAAUAAUACGCUUGAUUUUUCCAGGUAGCCAUCAUACUUUUCUUGUUGCUUCUUGAGAAUGUUUCUCAAAAAUUGCAGUCCAUCAUAGAGUAUCCGCAUUUGAUGCUGCAGAGAUUCCAAAAAUCUAGUAGGACAAUGUUGUAGUAGCUCCAAAAGAUUACUUAGGAGAGAGUCUACAAAUUCCCCAACUAUAAUCAUAUGCAUCUUCGUAGACACAAUGAGCGAUGAUAAUCCACAUUCCAAGAUGUUGCGGACUUGGUAAACAACAGACUCGAACUUCUCGAUUAAUUUAGAUAUCUGUGAGCUUUUCAUCAAGGACUAUAUUAUCUUCUUUAUAACAAAGACCUGCUGCUGAUGGUACUAGAAUGUUUCGUACUUCAUAAGUACCAGCUGAUUUUUGCCGUGCAACCUGGCAAAGAGAAUGAGAUUCUUAAAAAUACUAGCUUCUCUUAAAGGGGUGUUAGCAGUGUUUCAAGUCUUGAAUCAUAGGUUUCACCCCAGACGACAAUAUCCACAAGAUUCUCUAGCAAAGAUUGGAAGAAUUCGAUGAAAUUAUCUUCCCCAUAAAGAACGAGCCAAAGAAGAACACAAAUCAAAUGGAAAUCCAGUUCUAGAUAAGACAUAAACUUAUUUGAAAUCCUGCAUACGAUUUACUGUUUUCUUGCCUCAAAAUUGUUGAAAAUCAGAUGCUGCUUGGGCUAAUCCAUCAUCUAAUCGACGAAGAAAAGAGUAAAACUGCUUUGCCUUUUCAGCAAUAAUCCGUGCAAAAUAUCUUGCCCCAUCACACUGAAAUACUUAAGACAAAAUAAAUAUUUUAGCUAGACUUAGCUCUAUCUUCAACUCAUUCAAACCACAGUCAUCCUUGUAGCAAUCUAGGAUUAAAUCAAUAUAUUUUGAUAACGAUCCAGAUACCCAGAAACCAGAAUAAGCCAAAUGGGCUUGGUCAACAGAAGCUGCAAUCUUCUCUAGUGAUAUGGAAACGUCUAUUGAGUAAAACCAAUCAGACACUUCAUUAUGAUGUCUGAAAAACCAACAAAUGAAGCAUUGAUAAGCUGUAUAUACAACCACAACUCCACAAUUCUUCUUAUAUUCGAUAUUGUCUGGGAUUUCUCCAUUCAAGAACAAUAGCUUCUCGUAGAAAGGCUCCAAGAGUGUGGCAAAUCUUGGAUUACAGGUUCGACCCUAAAGAGAAUAUCAUCAAGAUUCGUUAGCAAGGAGGAGAAGAAAUAUAGGAAUUCAGAACCCUAAAAACAAUCCUGAUCCACUAAGCCAUCCCACAAAUCAGAAUAUCAUCGAGGCAUCCAAUAAUGCCCCUGCUUCCAGUUACGUCACAAAUAAUGCAACAUGCCUUCCAACAUCCAUCUGUAUUCAUCUCUUAUUUGGUCCCUAAAACUAUGCACAACUUCUCGAAAUCUAGAGACCUCUCCAGCAGGGGGCAAUCGAUCCUAGAAGAGAGUAAAAACGUUGCCCAUCUUGAUCAACACAGCCUUCAAUGUCCGAAGGAGAAUACCGUGUACACAGAAGAAAUGUUCUUACAAGUCCUAACUCCACCCUCAGCUUGUUCAAGCCAUCAUAAUCCUUGCAAAAAUCACCUUCGCCCAUCAACCAUUGCAGUUACCUAAGAUUAAAUCAAUGCAUCUUACGCUUCUCCAUCGCUGUUUGCACGAAUCCGAUGAUCUCUUCCACUAUUCUCCGAUCUGUGUCUACCUCUACUGGUAUAGUGAUCUUUUUCUUCUCUACCUCUCAACAUUCACCAAGUCAGAUCUGCGUCUGCCUCCCCCACUUUGCUUUUCUUUCCAACACCGAGUAGCCUUUAAGUCAACGGCCAAAUUUUUGCUUAUGUAAACUUCACCAAUGUUGCAUUUAUGAAUCUAAAAGAACUAGCCUGAUGGGUAUUUUAAUUUUGGUUUUUUCAUCUUAAACUAGAAUAAGAUAUCCAUAAAUUAAUCAUUUUAAGUAAAUUUUUACGCACGAAUCUUUUUAGGACACUAGUAGUGUAUCAUAGACACAAUUUUCAAAAUCAGAGAUACAAGUUAAAUGCUUGAGAUUUUGAGAAAUCAGAAGCAUGUCCACUAUCCACUGAGCAUUAUUUAAACAUCUGUGAUCUUCUUAGUCCCAUUUAGAUUGCUAUUUUUUAGUUUUUUGUAGAAAAUGUACAAUAACGAUUUAAUAUAUAUGAGAUAAAAAUGUGAUUAAGAAAUGUAUUUACGAAAACGUAGAAAUUUUUCAGGAAAAAAUUGCUUUCCUAACAUGCAAUUGAGAAACAAAAAACACAAAGGUCCCGUGUCUUUUUUUUUCAUCUUAUAAGAUGAAAAGAUUUCAAGAAAAGGAUCCUGCUCCAAGAAAAAAUUUCAUCUUGUAAGACAAGUUCCAAACGGAGGAUUAACUUAAAACUUUGGAAGACCAAUCACGCUGCAUUCUCCUGCUGAUCAAAAUAAGGCAAUAUGAGAGUUUGGUUUUUUUUUGGUUGACAAAAAUGUGUCAAAACUAGCAGGCAAGAGCAUUAUGUAACCUGCAUUUAUCAGUUUCAAUAUUUUAGAAGUAAUUUUUUUUGUAGAUUUGCCAAGGUAAUUAAUGGAGAGAAAGAAAUGAAAAUACUUCGUGCAAUAUAAUUACUUGUUGCAAAAUGAUUUUUUAUUAUCUUUGUGUUGGUUGACAUCAAUUCAAAAUGAAAGGAAGGUGCAAAAUUUGUCCACCUACAUGUUUCAGUGAUGCUAAAUUUUCUACCUGAGAAAUAGAAAUAAUUACUAUUUAUUGCCUUCACAUUCUUUCUGUACAUUAGGACAAAUCUAUAUAUAUAAAAGUGCCAAUGUGAUUUGGUGUUUUAGUGAUUUAGUUUUUGCUUUCCAAUAAUACUCUUAUAUAAUUAAAUAAUGAAACGUGCCUUAAAUUUCAAAUAAGAAUUGAACGAGGGAUAUUUAUGGAUAUUUGUGUGAUGCAGUUACUGUCUUCUAAAAUAUUGUAUUCUAAAAGAAAACGAAUUCCAAACAAAGUUAAACAAAAAGAGGGGGGCAAGGGAGCCAUAUUGUAAAACAAGUUAAACCAAAAAUUUGAAGCCAUAUUGUGAAAGGAAAUUGAAGAAAUAUUUUACUUUAUUAAUUGUUGUAAAAAUUAGUUUUGCUUUCCAACAUUAACCCUCCCAUAACAUAUUAAGGCUAGCACCAAAUUUGAAUGACUUGUUGAUAUCGUUGAGGGUAAUUGUGUAAUAUUGCUGUUAAGUUUUUAUUUUUGGAAGAGAACUAUAUUGCAUUUUUCUUAUGAAAUAUAGUAAGAUUUGGAAUGAAAUAUGACAAGAAAAGCCCACUCAUGAGUCAUGAGAAUGAGCGAAACACUUCUUAUUUUUAUUUGUCUGGUUCUAGCUGGCUACAAUUCCAUAUUGGAAUAAUUUCCAAUGAGUUACUAGAAACAAACAUAUCUAGAUCAACUCUGUGCUUUUUCAUUUUCUCUUUUUUGUAUGAAAACCUUCGAAUCUGAAUAAGUUAAAAAGUAGGAGUACAACAUAAGGCAUCACUGAUAUUCACAAUCUAAUAGUAAGAUGGCAGUAUAGUAAACAGACCAGAGAUUCUUAAAUCAGGUUAAAUCAUCAUCCAUCCCCUUUUGAAUGAUGUUGCAGCGUUUGCAAGAAGUGAAGGUAGAACAACACAACAGAGAUUCUUAAAUCCCGUUUUACCGCAGGCAGCUUUGCUUUGACGGAGCAUAAAGUUGAUGUGGUUAGUUGCAACAAAUACCGAGCUUAAUCCUCUUAGCUAGUUUGCUGGCUGGAUUGUCGUACAAAAACAUGUUCAAAUCUGGGAUAUGCCAAGCCUGUCAAACAGUCCGGAAUCAAAGCCAGAACUAGCCACAUUAUGGAUCGAAAUACCUUCUUUCCAAGAUCAAUGAAAAAGAAAGGACAGAGGUAAAAAACUACAGAAAAGACACUAAAAAGAAACAGCAGGUCACAGCUUUCUAUUAAUGACUUCCAAAUAAUAGUACUAAUAAAAACAAUGAUCUUAAUAAUAACGGUCUAUUCUCUCUAUUUAUCAGAACAUUUGUAAUUUUUCUUUAAACUAUAAUACUCCAAUGGCACAUCCUAUAGUUUGCAAAAUCGAUGCAAACUAUUUAAACAGAUAAGAGAAUAAGACCUUCUCAUUCAAGUUUUUCUAGAUUUUGAGGUUGUGAAAAGAAGUUUUUACAUUACGAGCCACCUUUAUCUCCAAGACUGCCUCAAAACUACAUCAGAUCCCAUCACUGUAUCUGAAUAUCACUAUCAGCAAUAAGUGCUUUGUGGCAUAAUUAGUCAUAGCAGAUUCAUCAAUAACCUAAAACUAUCAGUUCAUAUACCACAAGGCUGUAUCACAGCACUUUCAACAGCCCAACAUUUACUUUCAACAUGUAAGAGAAAACAAUAUAAUAUUCCAAACUUUAGUAAUCAACAGAUGCAGUAGAUGGUGGCCUAACGUUGUGGAAGAAACUAAAAAGACCAAUGAUGCAUAUCUGAUAGCCUACAACGUUGGAGAGUCCAUGAUUGUUUAUUCUAGCUGGUUUUGUCCUCUAUCUCCCAGUCUUUGCUAAAGAAAGACGACAUCCCCUUGCCAACUGCCUUCCAUUUGUACUAACUAGCAAGGCCAGUUGCGUCCACCUAUGGUGCGUGCACUUCUCCCUCCCAACCUCAUGAAUCCUUGCCUAAUCUUUAUCAAGAUGAGACUUGGUUUCCAAGAUCAAGUGAAGCAGCAUAUUCUAAAAUGACAUGCUCAAAAGAAAACAAGCAAAUUUCAUAAAAUGCAAUACCUAUCUAGGAUCCUCAGCUUCUACUAUAUCAUUUAGGCAACGAACACCUAUAAAAACUAGUAAUACUUGUUCAUAUCUUAACUUCACUGAGGAAAUGAAAGUUUAUUUUAGUGCCACCAACAGAUAAGGUAAGAUACAAAUCUAAGUAACCCUUUAGAGCAUCCUCAAAGAUAAAGUUAUUUAACUUGCUAUUCCAAUAAUAGGUCAAUACUGGAAAUUACCCUCUAAAUCACACAAAAAACAAAAGAAAGACUGGAAAGUCUAAAUGAUAAAUCGAAGCACAUUUAGAAAAUAAAGAGCAAGAAGAAAGACAGAAACUGGUAAAAACCAAAACAAGAAAAUGGCUCACACCUUUUCCAUUUGGCAAUAAUCCUGCAUUUUCAGCUGAUACUGGUAGGAUGGUAAGACCAAAUUCGUCUGUUAGCUCAUUCAGAACUUUAUUAUUCAUAGAAGCAGGGUUCAAUGACUUAGAUUCAACCAACCUUUUAUAAGCAGUAGCUUGGCUAUGCAUGUCAGAUAAGGGUGAAGUUCGUCAAAUAUAAUCCUAGGAAAGGCAUAGUUUGAACCCUACUGAUAAAAUUGGUGCUAAAAGAAACAUUAAAUGGUUCGUAAAUAAGGAAAAGCAAAAAAAGAUAUUUCGUGGGGUUAGUUAUGCUACAUGUGGUAUUGCUUAGAUGCAAAAGAAAGAUAGUCCUCAAUAAUCGAAACAAGAUUAUUGAAACUCUAAAAAGCACUUAAUGGUAAUCCCCUAGAAGAAACUCUGAAAAGUACUUAAAAAAGUAAUUACUCAAGAAGAAACCUUAAAAGGUAGUUUUGUGUAAUAAUAAGAGUUCCAGGACCAGAGACAGUUCUGAACUUUGAUAGGCAUUCCUGAUCAGGUUACUAGCUUAGGCCACAAUCUGUCAAAUUUUACUCCCACUCUCGACAACCUUUCCUGCACACCCUUAACAUGCCAUCAACCCAGCAGUUAAUUUGUGGAACAGUUAGGGUACAAGCUAAAUGCAUAGCAAGCACAGCACAUACCAUCAUACCUGCAACAUUUGUCACCACAGGGGUUUGCCUAGUGACUAGAGAAAUGUUUUACACUCUCAGAGUUCUCUUCUCUGUCAAGUUCAAAGUUCGAAAUUCUGAACUUGACAAUGGAAGGUGAGAAGGAUGUGGAGACAGGUGGGAGGAUAAAAUUAAAUGUUAAAAAAAAUCUGUUACAUGACACAACACAAUCGACUAACUGAAUAGGUACAAAAACAAGAUUGUAUUAGAUUUUGUAUUCCCAUUUUCCAAUGAAACAUGUCUUUUACAUAUAACUCAAUAAGGUAAAUUUAUAUUCCAUCAUAUAAGUUCCACACAUGCUUGAGAUGCAAGUGUAAACAUCUGGAAAAAUUUGAAACAUAUCCAUCCUCAAUAUUUGAACAUCAAUUUAAUCAAAUAAUACAUUGCAGCAGUCAUCAUAGAGUAUUCACAUUUGAUACUGCAGAGAUUCCAAGAGCCCAGUAGGACAAUGUUGUAGUAACUCCCAAAGAUUACUUAGAAGCAAAUCUACGAAUUCCCCUGCUACAAUCAUAUGUCUUAGUAGACACAAGAAGCGAUGAUGAUCCAUAUUCCAAGAUGUUGCGGACUUGGUAAACAAUAGACUCGAGCUUCUCGAUUAAUUUAGAUAUCUGUGAGUUUCAUCAAGGACUUUAUUAUCUUCUCUGAAGAACCAAUAUUUAUAAUAGAGACCUGUUGCAGAUGAUACCAGAAUGUUACAGUACAUCAUAAGUUUAGCUGGCCUUUGCCAUGCAACCUGACAAAGAGAAUGAAUUCUUAAAGAAUACUAGCUUCUCUUGAAGGGAUGUUAACAGUUUUUCAAGUCUUGAAUCACACAAUUCACCCAGAUGACAAUAUCUGCAAGAUUCUCUAGCAAAGAUUAUAAGAAUUUUAUGAAAUUAUCUUCCAAAAAAAGAAUGGGCCAAAGAAGAAUACAAAUCCAAAUGGAAAUCCAGUUCUAGAUAAGACAAAUAUAUAUCUGACAGUUUGCCAUACCAUUUACGGAUUGCUUGCCUCAAAAUUGUUGAAAACCAAUGCUGCUCGGGCUAAUCUAUCAUCUAAUCAAUGAAGAAGAAAGUAAAACUGCUUCUCCUUUUCAUCAACAAUCAGUGCAAAAUAUCUAGCCCCAUCACACUGAAAUCCAAUUUGAUACAGAAUAAAUGUUUUAGCUAGUCUUAGCUCUAUCUUCAAUCAUUCAAACCACAAUCAUCUUGCAACAAUCUAGGAUUAAAUCAAUGUAUUUUGAUAACGAUCCAGAUACCCAGACACCAGAAUAAGCCAAACGGGCUUGGUCAGCAAAAGCAGUAAUCUUCUCUAAUGAUAUGAAAAUGUUUGAUUUAAUCCGAUCAGACACUUCAUUAUCAUCUCUGAAAAACCAACAAAUGAAGUAGAGAUAAGCUGUAUAUGCAGCCACAACUCCACAGUGCUACUUAUAUUGAUAUUGUCCGGUAUUUCUCCUUGUAAGACACUAUUCAAGAGCAGUAGCUUCUUCGUGAAGGGGCUCCAAGAGUAUGGCAAAUCUUCGAUUACAGGCUUCGCCCCUGAAGAGAAUAUCAUCGAGAUUCGUUAGCAAGGAGGAGAAGAAAUACAGGAAUUCAGAACAAGAACAAUCCUGAUCCACUAUGCGACCCAGCAUAUAAGAAUACCAUCGAGGCAUCCCCAUCCAAUUUGCUGUCAGGUUGCAAAUUUACAUCAUGGCAUUCAACAUCUGCAUGUAUUUACUUCUGAUAACUUGCCUAAAUUUGGCACAACUUCUCGAAAACAAGAGAUCUCUCGAGCAGGGGGCAAUCGAUCCUCAAGUAGAAGAGAGCAAAAACAAAAACGCUGCCCAUCUUGAUCAAUAGAGUCUUCAAGGCCCGAAUAAGAAUACUGUCCACAUAGAAGAAAUGUUCUUACAAGUCCUAACUCCACCCUCAGCUUAUUCAAGCCAUCAUAAUCCUUGAGAAAUCACUUCGCCCACCAGCCACUGCAACUUACCUAAACUUAAAUCGAUGCAGCUUACACACUUCUCCAUCAUCAUGCUUUGUACCGAAUCGAUGAUCCCUCUUCCACUAUUCUCAUAUAUGUGUCUACCUCUAUCGGUAUGGUGAUCUUUUUCUUUUCUACCUCUCAACAUUACCAAGUCAAAUUGCAUAAGGCAUCACUGAUAUUCACAAUCUAAUAGUAAGGUGGCAGUACAGUAAACGGACCAGAGAUUCUUAAAUCAGGGUUAAAUCAUCAUCCAUCCCCUUUUGAAAUGAUGUUGCAUGCAUUUGCAAGAAGUGAAGGUAGAGCAGCACAAUAGAGAUUCUUAAAUCCGUUUUACCGUAGGCAGCUGUGCUUUGACGGAGCAUAAAGUUGAUGUGGUUAAUUACAACUAAUACCGAGCUUAAUCCUCUUAGCUAGUUUGCUGGCUGGAUUGUUGUACAAAACUUGUUCAAAUUGGGAUAUGCCAAGCCUGUCAAACAGCCGGAUCAAAGUCAGAACCAGCCACAUUAUGGAUCGAAGAUACCUUCUUUCCAAGUUCAAUGAAAAAAAAGACAUGGGUAAAAAAAACUACAGAAAAGACACUAAAAAGAAACAACAGGUCACACUUUCUAUUAAUAACUACCAAAAAACAAUAGCAAUAAAAACAAUGAUCUUAAUAAUAACAGUUAUUCUCUCUAUUUGUCAGAACAUUUGUAAUUCUUGUUUAACUGAUAAUACUCCAAUGGCACAUCCUAUAGUUUGCAAAAAUGAAACAUGCAAACUAUUUAAUCAGGAAAGAGAAUAAUACCUUCUCAUUCAAGUUUUUCUAGAUUUUGAGGUUGUGAAAAGAAGUCUUUUGUAUUAUGAGCCACCUCUGCUCCAAACUGCAUCCAAAACUAUGUCAGAUCCCAUCACCGUAUCUGAUAUCACUAUCAGUAAUAAGUGUUUUGUGGCAUAAUUAGUCAUGGCAAAUUCAUCAAUAACCUAAAACUAUCAGGUUCAUAUACCACAAGGUAUAUCACGAGCACUUUCAACAACUUUCAACGGCCCAACAUUUACUUUCAACAUGUAAGAGAAACAAAUAUAAUAUUCCAAACUUUAUAAUCAACAGAUGCAGUAGAUGGUGGCCUAAUGUUGUGGAAGAAAGUAAAAGAGACCAAUGUGCAUUACACCAGGCAGUCUCCAACAGCCUGCAAGAUUGGAGAGUGCAUUUAUUCUAGCUGAUUUAUUGCUCUAGCUCCCAGUCUCUACCAAAGAAAUAACAAUUUCUUGUAAUGGUGACUUCGCCUUGCCAACUGCCUCCAAACUGUCCUAACUAGCAAGGCAGAUGCUUCCAUCUCUGGUGGGCCUACAUCUUCCUCCUAACCAUAUUAAUCCUUGCCUAAUGUUCAGGAAGAGUCUUGAUUUCCAAGAUGAAAUGAAGCACAUAUUCUAAAAUGACAUGCUAAAAAAAAAAAAAACAAAUUUCAUAGAAUGCAAUGCCCAUACAGUAGCUAAGCUAUCUCCUCAGCUUCUACUAGAUCAUUCAGGCAACACCUGAUACAAACUAGUAAUACUUGUUCAUGUAUUAACUUCACCAAGGACAUAAAAGUUUAAUCUAGUGCCACAACAAUAAGGCUAUACAAAUCUAAAUUACCUUUUAGAGCAUCCUCAAACAUAAAGAUAUUUAACUGCCUAUUCCAAAUAAUUGGUCAGUAUUAGAAAAUACCCUCUAAAUACCCAAAAUGCAAAAGGGAGACUGAAAAGGCUAGAUGAUAAAUAGAAGCACAAUUAAAGACCAGUAAGAAGAAAGACAGAAAUGGAAAAACCAAACUGAGAAACACCUCACACCUUUUCGAUUUGGUAACAAUCUUGCACUUUCAGCUGAUACAGGUAGGAUGGUAAGACCAGAUUUAUUGUUAGCUCAUUAAGAACUUCAUUAUUCACAGAAGCAGGGUUCAAUGACUUAGAUUCAGCCAACUUUGCAUAAGAUGUAGCUUGGCUGUGCAUGUCAGAUGAGGCUGAGGCUCGUGAAGCAUAAUCCUGGAAAAGACAAAGUUUACCCGCUGCUGAUAAAACUCACUGCUAAUAGUAUAAUGUUAUAGGAAAUAGAUUUUAAGCAACAUGAUGAAUCUUAGCAGCGGGGAUUGCUGAAAUGCUCUCUUUAUCUGCUUUUGCAGCCCAGUUUCAUCUAAGCCAACCAAAAAAAUGUUACGGGAAAGUAGGGGCGGAUUUAAGAGGGGCAGUGGGGCCUUAAAUUCCUAUAAUACUUCUACAAUUUUGGCAUAAUUUUAAAAGUGCUCCUAGAAUUUUUUUUAGAAAAAAUGUGAAAGAACACAAAAUUUAUAUCAUUCACUUUCCUCCUUUGGACCCCGUUUUCCCCCCAACAAGGGCCAAGUACCAAUUAUACCAGUCAUUCUUUUGGUCCCCACUCCUCAAGUUCCCUUUACCUGUGGUCCCCAUUUCCCUUCACAACCGGUUCCUCUUCUUCCAUACCCAAGCCAACUACUUUUCUUUUUAUCACUUCAUCCAAUAUCAUUUACUUCCUUUGUCCCAGUCCCCAAUUUCCUUUCCUCCUCUGUCUCUCGGUUGUCCCCACUUCCUAACAUACGAGAGCCAUUUUUUCUUCCACAACCAAAGUUUGUUACUCUUUCUUGAUCACUUUAUCCGAUUUAGAGAUUGCACCAGAAUCAAUUGAUCUUCUGGGACGUGGGUCCGCCACAUUUUGCAGCUCUUUUCACCAACUUUAGGAGACCAUAAAAUCAGGUUCUAAACAAUUACUUAUUAUUAUUAUUUUAAAUUUGUUUGCAAAUAUAUUUCUAGAGCAUGAGACUAUUACUGUUUAAAGAAAUUUGAAAAUUGAUUAGUUAAUAUAAUAACUAAAAAAUGGGUUAUUUGAUAAAUAUUUUAACUUGUGAAAUGGUGAUUUAUGGAUUUAAUUUAUUUUUAUUUUCCUUGAUUAGUUUCUUAUAUUGGAGUUAAUGUAAUGAUGAAUAAGGGCCAUUUGACAUGACAUAUUUUUAACUUUUAAAUUAUUCUAUGGAUCCUUUUGUCUAAUUAACUUGAUUAGGUUCAUAUGUUGGUUAAUGAUUUGAUAAAAUAAUGAAUAAAUAAGUCAUUAAUAAAUAACUUUAACUUGUAAAAUAGUCCUUGAUAGAUUUUAUUGUACAUUUAAUAUUUUAAUUGGAUUAUAUCUUAUAUAUUGAUUUUAAUUUCUUUAGCUAUGGAGAGAUAUUUCAAGAGGAAAUCAAUGGAAAAAGAAUCAUCUAAUAAAGAAGAAUUCAAGAAUAAUGAAAGUGCAAAAAAUGACAAUAAAAGAAGUUACUUGGGGAUUAACUUAGAUGAAUUACCUGCGGAUCCAGCCCAAAGGAAAAAAAUUGGGAUUAUCAUCCAAGGCUUCAAGAUGAAAUUCGGAGAUAUUACUUACAAAAGGGACCAUGUCAACCUCAUGAGCAUGUUUUUUCACAAAGAAAGAUAGGAAAAAAGAUGCGUCGAUUUGUUUGGGUUGGUUUGAUGAUUACAAGAAUUGGUUAGAAAUAGUAAUGAAAAAGAUGCCGCUUAUUGCUUAAGUUGUUAUCUAUAUAGACCAGAUGUGCGAACAAUCUGGUGGUGAUAGUUUCAUUAAGGAAGGAUUCACAAAUUGAAAAAAAUGGAUAGAUUUGAUGUUCAUGUUGGUGUCCUAAUAGCGCACACAAUCUGAGUUGGAGUAAAUGCCAAAGUUUAUUAAAUCAAAAUCAACACAUCGAAGUGGCAUUUUUUAAGCAAUCAGAGAAAAUGAAGGCUGAGUAUCGGACUCGUUUAUUAGCCUCAAUAGAUUGUGCUAGAUUUCUCCUACACAAGGUUUAGCUUUUCGUGAUCAUGAUGAAUCUGAUAUCUCUGAUAAAUUUUCUUGAACUUUUGCACUUCCUUGCGGAUCAUAAUGAUGAUAUAAAAAAGGUUGUUCUUGAAAAUGCCCCUAAAAAUCUCAAACUCAUUGCUCCAGAUAUUCAAAGGAUAUUUCAAAUGCUUUGGCAAGUGAGACUACAAGCAUUAUUGUAAAUGACAUUGGACAUGGAUUGUUUGCUAUUUUAUGUGAUGAAUCUCGUGAUGCAUCAACAAAUGAGCAAUUAGCAGUUGUUAUUGUUACGUGGAUUUACAUGGAUAUGUGAUUGAGCGUUUUCUUGGCAUUUUACAUGUAAGAGAUACUACUGCUCUUUCACUUAAAAAAGCAAUUGAUGUUUUAUUUUCAAAACAUGGUUUGAGCAUAUCACAAAUCCGUGGUCAAGGUUAUGAUGGUGCUAGUAACAUGCGAGGAAUAUAAUGGUUUUAAAAACUUUGAUCAUGAAGGAAAAUGGUUCUGCAUAUUAUAUCAUUGUUUUGCACAUCAGCUGCAAUUGUCACUUGUAGGGGUUGCAAAGAAACAUGUCCAAGUCUCUUUUAUGUAUAAUACAUUGUCUACCUUAGUGCAUGUUUUGAAGGUUCAUCUAAAAGACAAGAAUUCUUCGAGAACAACGCCUUAAGAAAGUUGUUGAUGAUCUAAUGACUGGAGAUCUUGUGAGUGGUUGGGGUUUAAAUCAAGAAACUAGCCUUCAAAGAGCUUGUGAUACACGUUGGGGUUCAUUUUGGCUCAUUGUUAAAGUUGGUUCUUAUGUAUGAUUCUGUAAUAGAUGUUCUUUUGAUAAUUGAAAAUGAUGGUCUGGUGGAGCAAAGAGGUCAAGCAUAUGCACUUCUUAAUUCUUUGCAAUAUUUUGAAUUUGCAUUUAUUUUUCACAUGAUGAAGAAAAUCAUGGGAAUAACGAAUGCACUAUCUGAAGCAUUACAAAGGAACAUCAAGAUAUUGUGAAUGCUAUGGGUCUGGUCAAAGUUUCCAAGCAAUAAUUACAAGCUACUAGGGAAGAUGGAUGGGAAUUUUUACUUGAUGAAGUUUGUUUGUUUUGUGAAAACAUGAGAUUAUCAUUUUGAAAAUGGAUGAAAUGUUCAUCACUAGUGGGAGAUCUCGAAGAAAAGUUCAGCAAAUUACAAACCUUCACCGCUGUUGAGUUGAACUAUUUUGUGAUGUGAUAGAUUUACAACUCCAAGAACUCAACAAUCGUUUCAAUGAAAUCAAUAUGGAGUUGCUUCUUUGUAUGGCAUGCUUGAUUUCAAGUGAUUCCUUUGCAGCAUUUGAUAAGAAGUUGAUUCGUCUUGCAGAACAUUAUCCUUGUGAGUUUUCAAAGUUGGAUAUUCUUGCACUUGACACUGAAUUGGAUACUUAUAUUAAUGACUUGAAAUCAACUAAGGAAUUUCUCGAUUUAAGAAAAAUCUCUGAUCUAGCUCAAAGGUUGGGGAAACUAAGAGAGAUAUUGUGUAUCCAUUGGCUUAUACGCUCUUAAAGUUGGCUUUGAUUUUGCCUGUUGCUACAAUUACAGUAGAAAGGGCUUUUUCAGCCAUAAAUAUAGUGAAGAAUCGGUUACGAAACAGAAUGGGAGACACUUGGAUGAAUGAUUGUUUAGUUACUUAUAUUGAGAAAAAUAUAUUUCGUGAAGUUGAAAAUGAGAAAGUUGUAAAUCGUUAUCAAAAUAUGAAAACUCGUCGUGAACAAUUAUAAAUAGUUUAGUUUGUUUUUGAAAUAAAAUUAUUAUUACAUUAAUAAUUUUGAGUUUGUCUUUUUAUAUUUUUCAUGGAAUAUACAUAUCAUUUGUACUUGUUGGUUAAUUUAUAUAUUUUUUGUGCUUAAAAAAUUAGAAAAAGAGUAGAUAAAAAAUUUUAGUGUUAUUUUACUCAUUAAAAUUUUUUCUGGCUCCGCCACUGCGAGGAAAGGGGGUUGAGGUGAAAACCUGAAAAAAGAAGAUUCUGGCUACAAGAACAAGAGUUGUAAGUAGAUUUAUACCAUUGGUAGGAGAUGUAUGCACACCAUUUUCCACAAGGCUCCGUGUUAAUGGACCAGGAUUCAUGAAAGAUAUAGUUCGAAUCUCAUAACGAAUGGCUUCCAGUUAGGAAAUAGUAUCUUGUAAUUCUUUAUGCACCUAUAAUACACAAACUUAGUACAGAUCAUCUGCAAACAUCAUUGAAAGACAAAGUGCACUUUACAUUUCAAUUGUCUAGCCAGUGAAUCUCAGUCAACAACUAUACCAUACAUGUGCUUUCUAUACAGAUAGACACAAACAUACAGAGCCAUAUAUCUAUGGCAUAUGUGUGUGUAGAGAGAGAGAGAGACCUAACGAGCCUGAGAUUGCUGCAUAACACUAUCGAAUUGGCCACGAGCCACUUGGACAUAUCCAAUUGCCCUUUCAGCUAACCUCCCCGUGGUUCUUGCAAUUAUUGGCAAAUCCUUUGGGCCUGAACUACAACUAUGAACGUCAACACAUAAACCUCAAUUCAACGUUGACUCUAUUACAUGUGCACAUAUGCCAGAGCAAGAGACAGAAAGUAUCAUCUCUAAAGGAUCAUCCUUGGAGCCACCCAAGCAAAAAUGGAAAAACUGCAAAACACAACACACUUUGUCGUGAUAGCAAACAAUACAACUUACUACAUUGUUUCAUCGCAUUUAGAAUCUACAUCAAUUAUACAUAGGUAAUCAUCCAAAGAGAUGCAAAGAUCGAAAUCUAUACAAGGAGGAAUAGCCAAUAGCGUACCAAUUAGCGCAGCAAUAGCUCCAAUUAUGAGAAAUAGCUCCCCAUAAAAAAUCCCAAGCAUCACUCUUUGCUUUUGUUCCCCCUCCUCCUAGGCACUUGUACUUGAGCAAAGUGCAUGACAGGGCUAAAUUAGUGUUACUUUAUGAAACUUUGGCUCAAAGAUAAAACUGUAAGGUGUUGAAAAAAUGUACAAAUAGACACCUUUUGUUGUCUUCUUUAUUCAAUGACAAUAAAUUGCACAUUGUAUUCAAGAAACAAUCAAUUAAAAUCCCAAAUUGGAACCACUAACACCAGAAUAUUUAUUGUUUUGCUUCCUCUCUAACACCGCCUCCUAGCGCGUGAUGCACACAACACACACACACUGUGAGAACCUGAAAAUUUUCUUAAUUUCUAGGCAUGAUUUUCUUUCUUUUUACACGUUUUCUAUAUUUUCAUUAUUAUAUUAAUUUCAUAGAUAUUUUUAUGAGUAAAUAUAGGUUUUAAAUCAUUUUCCUAGUAUAAGAUAGUUCAUGAGAUAUUAGGAGUGUACAUUAGACGUGGGACCCGCUAGUACGCUAAGUGCGGUAAUUUCGGCCAAUUAGAUUAAGUUUUACAUAAAGGGAUUAAUUUACUAGGUGUUAGGAGAUAAUUGAAGGUUAUCUAGAUAGAUUAACCUUGGUAGACAAAAGGAUAAGAUUUAACAUAGGAAAGGACAAGCGUCAUGAAACCAUUGGAGGGUGGACUUUGACCUACUAUUCAUCACCUUUACUAAAUAUCAAAAUUGACCAAAAUCAUCUUUAUUUCUCUAGCUUGUUGGCCGGCCCUUGUAAGGAGAAAAACCAAGAGAGAACCUUCAAUUUGUCCUUCCAUUUCUUGCUAAAAUUUGAAGUUUCAACCGAUAGAAUCGCAAACCCUUCCAUAAGAGUGUUAUCUAAGGAAGAACAAAGGUCUUGGUGGAGUGAUUCUUGUAGAAGAAACCCUAAGCCAUCAUCUUUCCCCAAGUUUCAAGGUAAAUUCCCUAUAAAAUUUCCUUCUACUCUUAAUAAUAGUCAAUUAGUGGAUUGGAGAGGUUAAAUGUGUGGUUUUGUGGAUAAAUUUAUGAUUUUAAGUAGGGGUAUGAUGAAUUUCAGUUUUUAUGGUAAAUUUUCUGUCCUCAUAUGAUGGUUGAUGUUUAGCCAUGAUUUGGUAGUGUGUUAUUAGUAAUUUGAGCUUGAACAUGCUAGCUUUACUUGUCUCCAAAGAAUUUCAGCUUGUGUAGCAAAAAUUUCAGCUUUAGGGUUUCUUUGUUGAGCUACCACUUGGUUGUUUUUGAAGGGUUUUGUGGCUCUAAUUAAAGGUGUUUGAUAGCUUGUGAUUUGUGGGUGUAAUUGUAGUGGAGUUGAGAAGUGAUUGGGUGUUGAGGUUUGGUUGGAAAAGUAAAGAAAGACAAGGGGAAGUGCUGUCAAAAUUUUCGUGGGAGCUUCUGUGCAGUCUUAGGAAAUUUGCUAUAUCUUGAUGUAGAAUUGUCGAAUUCGUUUUUGUUUGUUGCUUUUGAAAGUAGAUUCAUAGAACUACAAACCGUAAAAAUUUCAGGCCCUGUUUCUGUCUGUACAAUGUAUGGAGAUUUUUCAAAUUAACAGAAAACUGCAUACCUGUUCUGUCUUGUGAUGGUUGAAGCAGCAACUUGAGACUCGAAUUUGACUGACUUGUGUUCUGAAUCCUAUAAUGGUGUCUUCUGGAAAGUUGUAGUUCUUUGAAUGAAUUUUGCAACGGUAUAAAUUUUAUUAAUUUUGGACUUAAGAAGCUUGAGAUAUGAUUUUUCAUUUAGGAUUACACAAAACUAAAAAAUCCUGUUUUCCUAGAAUUGUUCUUACUCUCAUUUUUCAUUUCAUAUUUGGAGUUGGUAAAGCAUUGUGGCUAUGGGUUUUGGGUAGAGGUGAAGGGGUUUGAGGUCGUUCAUGCUUUUAGAACUAAUUGUUAUCCUUUCACUCCAAAGCUACAUCUUUGUGUUGUAUUAAUGGUUCAUGUGGUUAGGCAUAUGACUCGCAAAUGAGUCUCACAUGCAAAUUCCAUUUACUAAGCUUUGGAGUCGAGUUUUAAGUAUUUUCCCUGGAUUGUUCUAGGAAGUGCCGGCGAUUAAAGCCAUACUUGGAAAGGAAACUUUUGAAGUUAUUCUCGUUUGAAUUGGUGAGUGUACCACUCCCCUGAAUUAUUGCUAAACUGGUUAUCCAUACUUGCAAAUUGGUAUUUGAAUGUAUUUCCCGACUGUUUAUUUUGUACGAGACGAGAGUGUACUUUAUCGCACUCGCUCUCUGGCCUGUGUGACUUAUUUCCUGUAUAUACUUGAAUCUGUUACCUGCGCCUAUUAUAAUGUUGUUUGGAAGUGCAUCCAACGACUUUCCUGUUAAAUCUGAGCUCAACCUCAUGGGGAGUUGAUUGAAUUGAGCCAGCUAGGGUUUGAUCGAGGAAAUUGACAAUCCAUGGGUGCCUGUUCCUGGAGAAUCUAUAGGUAUUGGAGACUCUGGAUUUCCGGUAUACUCGAGUAUUACCAUUCCUGCUCCUGUUUGGCGUUCGGGCCCGGUAAGGGGUAUGUUUGGUGAACGGGAUUUUGGCGUAAGAGGGGUCUACGGACAUGUGUGUUUUAUUAAACGUUGACGGUGGGUCAACGAGGCUGGAUCAAGUAUUGCAAUGGGGAUUUAUCCUUUACAUUGUGAUGUUCAUUCAUUUCUCGUAUUUGAUGUGAAUAAAUGCCUUAAAAGUGAUUUCUCAUGAUUUCUAUGUUUAUAAUUUUGGUACCUCAUUGAACUUCUAACUCACCCUGUCCCGUUAUCCUUGUUUUUCAUACAGGGAACCAUCUUUUGGACCAAUGAUCAUUUUGAAGAAAGAAUUGAACUUGUAUAAAUACCCUCUUUGUAUAGCUCCUUGGAAGUUGGAAACCCUAAAUGUAUCUUAAUACAAUGUUUCAUUUUGGAUUUGUAAACUUACUAAUAUGUAUAUAUUAAAGUAUUUCCUCAUGUUUAUGUGACAUAUCUUUGAAAAUGUACAUUCUCUCAGGUUAACCAAAGUUUUCUUUUACUUGGUUGGACUGUGACGUGGCGGCUGCACUUCUAUUUCGUUUCGAUUGUUGUAGGAACGCUGUACCAAAGAUUGAUUAUAUCUUUUAAUUUGGUUCAAUUGGGUUCUGAAUGUUUAUCUUCUCGAAGUUCUUUUGAGCGGUUGGUAGGAUUUUCUGUUUGUUCCAAAUCUGUAGUCCCAGCGAGAGUUGGGUAGGCGGUCCACCGACCCUUUUGGUUUGCCUUAGGGUGAGGUGGGGCUGUCACACACACACAUACACAAAAAGCACCAAAUUCUAUAUUUCCUUUGCAUUUAUUCUUUUUUGGGUUCUAAUGUGAACAUUUUAUGAAAAUCUUGACAUGCAUGGGCAAAUACAACGAUUUUUCUGCUCAACCUACAUUGAAGCAAGGCCGAAACUUUCUAUUUCAGCCAUAUUCACAGCCUUUUCCACAUUAAUGGAGCAAGUAGUCACAAAAUUGCAGAUGAAAUAUUGAAAUAUCAAGAAAAUUGAAACAAGACCAUUCAACAAUACUCAGCAAAAAAUUCAAUCCUGCAUGUAAACUAUAUAUAAUUUGUAUGAUGCUGACAUUGAGAGCAUGAGAAGCAGCUUACAGUGGUAUUUCGGAGAAAAAUUGUGCUUUGAUAGUGUCCUAUUACCUUUACUUUACUUCUUGAAGGAAAUGGAGAGUUCUCAGAGAUGAGGACGGUGAAACGAGAGGGCGAUGGGGGACGUUGUAUCACCUGAGAUUUUGAAACCCAGACCAAGUUGGUCGAACCGAAAAAAAAGUGGGUCAAGGGUCAUGACUCAUGACAUCAUAAAUAUGUUAAAACCAAUUUUUUUGAUCUAAAAGAUAAUUAUACAAAUAAAAAAUACAUGAAACGAUUGAGUGAUUCGUACAAUUAAUUGAACUGGAAAAACUUGUAAUCUUAAGUAAAAACAUACAAGUAUUCUAAAAUCAUAAAUCAAUAUUGAAGAGUAAUGAACUAAGGUUUAAAGCUAAAUAUAUCAUUAACAUUAAUAUAUUCAUCUUUUAAGUUAAGAUAGCAAAUUUAACAAUAUUAAUCUUUAUGUUCUCUUUGGUUAUUUAGUGAAAUAGCGUAGUUAAGAAAAUUGGAGAAAGUUUGAAAUAAAGAAAAAAAUGCAAAAAAAAGAAGUGAACUGUAAAGUAAUAAAAUAAACAUUGACCAAAUUAAACUCAAUAAAACUCAUUGUAUGCUCCCAAACAAAAAAACUCAUUGUAUAGUAAAUGAAAUUUGAGCCCUUUCAUGCCAAUUAUUUACAGCAUAAGGAUUAUGAGAAUAAAAAAUUCUAUUGUCAUUAUUUAGUUAAAUUUUACAUUAGUAUCACCAAAUGAUACGAUUAAACAGAUUAUAUUCUUCUCCUUUUUUUAACUCUCUCUCUCUCUCUCUCUAACUCUCUUUACAAAUUGUUUUUUAACUUUACAACUGCAUUGUACCUUCUUAAGUGUAAAAAUUCCAAAAAAUUAAAGAAAAGUAGGCUAAAAAACAUGUAUGAUGUUUAUCAUGUGUGAAUUGAAACACAACACAUGUUGGUUUCAAAAACUCCUAAAUAUGAUAAUGUAAAAAAACCUUGCCUUGAUCAUUUUAGAUAUAGCAGUCCAAAAUAGUCUUGCUUAAGAAUAACUAUAGCCACUUCAAAACAAAAAAAUAAUUUAAAAAGUAAUUAAAAAUUAUGAAAUGCCUAUAUAAUUGAAAAUUAUGACGUGCCUAUGGUCCAAACGAUAUACACAAAUGUGAGAACAAACUAAAAACAAGGAAGUUUGUUAUUUUUUACUUUAUUUUUGACUUACUUAAGCAAUAUAUACAACAUGAAAUAGUUAAUAAUAAAAAAUAAAUACUUUUUACUUUGUUUCUGCUCAUAAACUUGGGUAUCUUAUAAAUAUCAUUUUGCUUGAAAGAAAUAAGUAGUUCACUAUUCUAAAUCGCCAACAUGCCUAGUCACUACAACUUACUUUCUUUAAUUAUUAAAAAUUAGCUUUAAAUUAUUAAAAAGCAUGAGUCUCAUAACCCUUUUAGAGAUAAAAUCCAUUCUAUCACCAAAAUACGGAAUGUUAACAACCAUAAACUAUAUAUAAAAAAUAAAAAUAAAAUAAAAAAAUGAACUAAAAAAAAUAAAUUAAUCAGGCACCAGUCCCGGCAACGGCGCCAAAAAUUGACAGGUGCCGAACCUGUACAAUAAUAAUAAUAAAACCUAACUACUACUUGAAACAGUCAAUAAUCAAUUCUAGUACUAGAGCAGGGAACCUAGGUGUGCAAUGGGUUAUUUAACUGAAUAUAUCAGAAUUAAUUAUUUAACUGAAUUCACUAACUAAUAAACAGUGGCAAGCAGGGUCGUCUUCUCAGGAAUUGGGAAGAAAUUUGUUUCUUUUCAAACCAAGACAAAUGGGGGUUUUCAGGAUUAAAUGCUAACUAAAUAAAUUAACUGCAAAAAUAAUUAAUUAAAAGAAACAAUUGGGAGAACUCUAGCUAAGGAUACACUUCAGAAAUAGUUCAUGCACUGAUCAUUGAUGCAAAAAUAAUUCCAACAUUUAUUAAUAGACUGGUUAUAGUUGUCAUGCAUGCGAUAAACAAUCAAUCUUUUUUUAAUUUAUCGAUAGUUAAGGUACGACCGUUAACUACUUCUGUAACACGAAAAAAAUCCUGUGUAUGAUCAUAGAAUUUAAUUUCUGGUUUGCAUUAAGAUUUAGAAAGGUCCAAUCCUAACUAAUAACACGCUACGAGGGUUUGUUUAAACUAGAUCGUAUGUUCUCCUGACAUAAAGCCAAUUACGCCAAUUGCUACUGAGAUAGAGAUAAACGAACAAUUACAGAUUCAAUUACCCCUAUUUAGCAAAAUAGCCUACAUGAAUAAUUAAUUAUUGCACAUUAAUCAAUCAUACACAGAGAUAUAACAAUUAAAAGUAGGAAAUAUAUAAAUACCAAUAAAUGAAAGAAACAAUUCAAAGCAGUUUAGAUUUCACAGUAUUUGCUGAACCAAAUCGUCAGUUGUCCCCUUGACUAGAAAUACGAAGUUAGUUCUCCAUUAAUGGAGAACAAGCCAUGUAAAAAUCUAUUUUAAGCUUCCCCCUUGUUUCUUUCCCAAAAGUCGGCUAAAAAGCAAAGUACAAAGACAAGAGAGUUUUUCCCCGAAUUUUUACAAGCUUUUCCCUGGAAAAAAGGCUAAAGAAAAGCUGAUGCCUCCUGUCUCUUGUGCGGCUAGGCCCACCAAAGAGUCACUCACGUUGCUGACUCCUUCGAGUAUUAAUCACACGGGCUGGCCAUCCUAUCAUUUUCCUAAAUUUUAGCUUUUUGAAACCAAAUAGACUUUCUCCCUAAUCUAAUCUUUCCCAAUAAUCCACGUAGACUCCAUUUUGAAUUGAAAAACUCUUGAAAAAUCACAUCUUUUAUCUUUUUUUGUUCCACCUUCCUAAAAUUAGUACCAAAUACUAAAUAUACGUAGAAUCUAUCAAUUAAUACAAUAUUUGGAAUAAUUGAAGAGGAAAAUAAUUAUAGAAUUAAUGACAAAAAUGCAACCUAUCAAUUUUUCUCACAUCUAAACCAUGUUUGUUCUCAAGUAUAAGAACAACAAAUCAAGCGAUCAAAUUCAAACAAUGGCUAUUGCUCAAAUCUUCUAUUGCCAAGAUACAAUUAAAACACAUGUCAAGUAUUAGUGGCAAUUUAUAAGAAAUAUCUCUCGAGAUAGCUUUCAAGAUUAAGAACUCUUUCAAUUUAUGACUAACUAAUUUAAUAAAUAUAAAAUAUUCAACCAUCAUCCAUAAGCAAAUGGUUCGACUAUUAAUCAAAAUCUCAACAUUAAAAUUCAUGGAUCAGCGGGCUAACAAUUCAUUCAUAUUUUUCACUAUUAGCAAAUUUUUUUUUCUAAAAUAUCCCCACACUUGAUUGAUAUUCUUUUUUCAGGGGAAGUGUUUAGUCUUUAGUCAUUUAAGCGUUUUGACGCGAACUCCGACAUUGGCCAAAUGAAGGAACCCGGUUAUUCAGCCAUCAUCGCAUAACAACCACAUACUCAUAGCUAUCAUCGCUUUUUGACGCGAAAAUUGACACUUAUGGUGCAGACCUCAAGUUACUAGGCAACAAUACUAGCAGAGUAUAGCCGAAUACUAUUCAUAAAUAAGCACCAAAUUAAAAUUAAAAAUCACAUAAAUUCGUUUCAUUUCCUAAACAUGGAGAACUAAAAUUAAUAGUUGAACCAAUUUAUAUAAAAAAAUGCUAGAUAAAUAUUUAUAAUACUUAGAGAAGUUAACCAACAAGUGCAAAAAUCACAAAAUCUCAAAUAUUCACCAAAAUAUAUCCUUAAACUUAAUAAUGUCAUACUUAACACUUUAGAGUAUAAAAUCUUGGCAGUAUAAAAAUUUGAGACAUCUAGCCAUCGUUUAUCAGGAACAAUCAAAAAAAUUCCAACAAAAAUACCCACACUUGUAUUUUUUCAAUAAAAUACCAAUAUACUACUCUCUCUUACACCUAAAUCUUAUAUUGUCCUCAUUGUAAGCAAUAAAUAAUAAAAUUCAAAGCAAAGGGACAACGAAACUUCCCUGAUCAUCAAAGGGGUGUGGCACAGCUGUAAGAAAGAGGCAUAAGACAUGUAGAGUUCAAUGGCAAAACUAAUAACGAUGAAGGCAAUGAUCGGUAGCUAAGGAUGUCAGGUGGCUCACAAUAGAUGAGAAAGAAUUAUGUGCGAUGAACAACAAUACUCAAGAACUGACGACCCACGUUGAACAGCGCAACGGUGGCAGUGAAUUUGAAAUCCUUUGGUUGUGGUCUUGUAGCUGGACAAGAAAAGAAAGGAAUAAAAAGGAAAGGGAGGGAAGAAGAAAAGAGAGAAAGAAAGAGAGAAAAACAAAGAAAGGAAUUUUUUUUUAAACCACUACGUUAGACGUGGGCAUGCCUAACUGUCCUUGAAUCUUUUGACUAAUCCAUGGAAAUUAAGAUCUUUAAGCGUGACCACUUAGCACAGGCACGCCUAACUACUGGAGAGUCUUCUGACUAAUUUUUGAAAAUUGAGUUCCUUAAGCGUGACCACUAGGCAUGGGCACGCUUAACUAAUGGAGAGUUUUUUGCCGCGACUGAAUUGCCUUCCUUCGGCGUGGGCACGUCUAACUGUUAGAUUUCUGUCACAAAAAUAACAAAUCACUAAAUGCAACUAACACUUAAUAAAAACUCCAAAAACAUAAGAAAACUAAAACAAAGGCCUUGGGUUGCCUCCCAAGUAGCAUUUUUCUUUAAUGUCUUUGAUUAGACAUUGCCAUGUUUAUUCACGGAGGAUAAAAUCGUGUAGCUCGUUUCAGUGUUUCAUCUUCUAUGUAAUCCUGAUAACCCUCGUGAAUAGAGUAAUUCUUGAGCACACGAGUUACGGUCUUUAAUGGACUAGUAGAUGGCGCCAAACAAACAAGUAAUGACAUUAAGUCUUGACUCACUCAUCUAUCACAAGUACUUACUGGUUCGAGAUAUUUUGCCAUCGUGACUCUUAAUCUAUUCCUAUCAUGAAACUCAAAAUUUUCUGAUAUAAUAAAAUCAAUCUCACUAACAGGAAUUAACGAAUAAGAGUCAGAAGAAUAUUGAUUAAGGAAUGGAGGAGAUAUCACCGUAUUUGGAGAUUGUUCACAGAAUUCAUUCACUUGAACAAUUUGAUAUUGGGGUCCCAUUUCUUGCACUUCAACUUUCUCUUCAACUGCAUUUUUAGAUUCUUCUUCUUGAGACUCUUGCAGUUUUAUGUCAUUUGUCAGGAUAAUUGCACUCUCAUCUUCCUCAUAGUCGAUAAUAGUCGGUGAGGGCAAUUCUCUACUCAUUCGAGAAGUCAAUUGCAUUAUCCUAGAUGUCAAUUGAUUCAUUUGAUCCGCUAGGUUACGCAUGCUCGCUUGUGUGUCCUGAUGAAAAUCUAUUGUCUCCUGAUUAAAAUUCAUUGUCUUCUGUUGAAGUUGAUGUGUCUCCUAUUGAAUUUGAUGUGUCUAUUCCUUCAAAGACAUACGUGACAUGGAUGACGGUUCUUAAGACUCUAGCUGUUGCAAAUCUACUGGUUUUUAUUCAUAAUUAAAAUUGGAAUCAUCCUACCAUCGUUGCUCAUACCUGUUUGAAUAAGAGUUAUACUAGGUUUGAUAUUAAGGUGAAAAAUCUCCAAAAAGUAUCGAUUGUAGCACUUAGACCAUCUUAAAAUGUAUGGCAUAUGUCGAUUAAAUGAUUUGAGGCAAAAUAAGUUUCACAAUUUGCAACAACCUAUUGAUUAUUAGAAAAAGGACGAGUCUCAUAACCCCUUCUAGAAAUAAAAUCCAAUCUAUCACUAAAAUACGAAAUGUUAGCAGUCAUAAACUAUAUAAAAAAUAAGAAAAAAAUAAAAAAAAUGAACUAAAAAAAGAAACAAAUUAAUCAGACACCAGUUCUCGGCAACGCGCCCAAAAAAUUGAUAGAUGCCGAACCUGUGCAAUAAAAUAAUAAAACCUAACUACCACCUGAAACAGUCAAUAAUCAAUUCUAGUACUGAAGCAGGACCCUAGGUAUGCAAUGAGUUAUUUGAUUCACCAUGUUCCUGAAGAGUUUGCUUAAUCCGAUAUACCAGAAUUAAUUAUUUAACUGAAUUCACUAACUAGUAGGCAGUGGCAAGUAGGGUCGUCUCCUCAGGGACUGAGGAGAAAUUGUUCUUUUCGAGCCAAGACAAAUGGGGAUUUUCAAGAUUAAAUGCCAACUAAAUAAAUUAACUGCAGAAAAUAAUUAAUUAAAAGAAAUAAUUGGGAGUACUCUAGCCAAGGAUACAUUUCAGAAAUAGUUCAUGCACUGAUCAUUGAUGCAAAAAUAAUUCCAACAUUUAUUAAUAGACUAGUUAUAGCUGUCAUGUAUGCGAUAAACAACCAGCAUUUCCUUAAUUUAUCGAUAGUUAAGGUACGACCGUUAACUACUUCUCUAAUCCAAACAAUUUUAGGUACGACCGUAGAAUUUAUAUUUUUGGUUUGCAUUAAGAUUUACAAAGAUCCAAUCCUAACUAACAAAUACGGUACAAGGGUUUGUUUUAAACUAGAUUGUAUGUUCCCCUGACAUAAAGCCAAUUAAAACGAACAAUUACGGAUUCAAUUACCCCUAUUUAGCAAAAUAGCCUAUAUGAAUAAUUAAUUAUUGCGCACUAAUCAAUCAUACACAAAGGUUAUAACAAUUAAAAGCAGGAAACAUAUAAAUACCAAUAAAUGAAAGAAACAAUUCAAAACGAUUUAGAUCUCACAGUAUUUGCCAACCAAAUCAUCAGUUGUUCCUUGACUAGAAAUACGAAGUUAGUUCUCCAUUAAUGGAGAACAAGUCAUGUAAAAAUCUGUUUUAAGCUUCCCCCUUGUUUCUUUCCCAAAAGUCGGCUAAAAAGCAAAGUACAAAGACAAGAGAGUUUUCCCACCGAAUUUUUACAAGCUUUUCCCUGGAAAAAAGGCUAAAGAAAAGCUGAUGCCUCCUAUCUCUUGUGCGGCUAGGCCCACCAAAGAGUCACUCACGUUGCUGACUCCUUCGAGUAUUAAUCACACGGGCUGGCCAUCCUAUCAUUUUCCUAAGUUUUAGCUUUUUGAAACCAAAUAGACUUCCUCCUAAUCUUUCGCUAAUAAUCCACGUAGACUCCAUUUUGAAUUGGGAAACUCUUGAAAAAUCACAUAUUUUAUCUCUUUUUACUCCACCUUUCCUACAAUUAGUACCAAAUACCAAAUAUAUGUAGAAUCUAUCAAGUAAUACAAAUUUGGAAUAAUAGAAGAGGAAAAUAAUAAUAGAAUUAAUGACAAAAAUGCAACAUAUUACUUUCUCUCUUUUUAUAAUUUAUGCCAAACUUUUAAUAGAAUGCUUAUUGAUCUGAAAAGGCUUUUAUAGGUUGAAAGGUAGAAAAAAAUUUCUAGCUACUACUUGUUCAAUACGUAGAUCAAAUAAUUUUCACCAUGCAUUUAGAAUAGACUUUAGUGGAGUUUAUCACUAUGUAAUGCUUGCAUUAUUCUCUUCAAACAUCAGCCAAAUGGCAACAAUGGAAAAGGAAACAAAAAAAGAAAAAAAGGUGAAUCAACAUAAAAUGCAGGAAAGGAAAUAACAACAUACAAAAAUGGAAAAUAGGAAAAAAGCAGUGAAGCAGCUGAUUUUAGAGGGCAAAGAAAAGUUGAGCUCCACAAACAAAUUUGAUCUUACUCCAUAUGCCUAUAUCCCCUCAAUGGGCAAAUCACUGGCUCACUCCUCGCUCCACUCUUUACCCUCAUCAUCUUCUUCAACUUCAUCAUCUUUUUUAUGUCCCAUAACUGUAUGCUCUUCUCUUCACACUCAAUUGCUGACAAACUCAGAAAUCUCAAUUUUUUCCUUAGUUUCCUCUUGUUCUUCCAAGCUCCAAUUCGUUCAACAACACUCCACUAUCACAACUAUAACACUAAAGCAUCCAAUUUUUCUCUUCACUACCCUUGAUACGCCCCUAUUGACGCCCAAUCCUUUUUUGCCACUGUUAGUGUCUUGGUUGCCAUUGCUCUCUCCCUAUUUUUUGGCCUCAAGGUUGCCUUUUUGUUGAAUAAAUUUGUUAUCUUUUUGUGGUUUCUGCUUGAUUUGGCUUCAUAUGCUUAUUGGGGCAAGGGUCGUUCUUUUUUUUUUUUAACGCAAAAUAUUCUUCAGGCUUUAGGAUUAUCUAGUGCAGCUUGAAAUUAUAAGCAUACUGUUUUUAUUUCUUUUGCUAAAAAGCUGUUAUUUUUGUGGUUUUGUAUAUGCAGGGGAUCCUGUUCCUUGUGACAGGUGUGCUGGAAAUUGUAAUCUCUUUUUCUCGAAACGAAAUUAUUUAUACAUUAUUAUGCAUGCAUUUAGUCUACAUAAUCAACUUGUAUUUAGAUUGCAAGUGCAUUUUUAUGUGUAAUUUUACAUUAUUGUAUUAAAACUGGCGUUUUCAUUUAUAUGCACGAAAAAUCUAAUGCAGAUUGGCAGGAAAUUUUAUAAGUCUAGUUAAGUCAAAAGUUAAGUUUCUAGACAUGCUCUCUCUCUAUCUAUCUCUCUCUCUGACGUCUCAUUUGAUGUUCCCACAAAGGUGAAAGUUUUUUAUUUUUCUGGUCGAGCAAUGUUGAUGAUCACUGUAGAUUUUGGUUGGCAUGUUUUGUGUGUUUGGCUAUGAAAAGUGGAAAUCAAGCACCUCCACGUCAAAAUAGAAGUGACUUUUUGGUUUCUGAUUAGAAAAGGACAAAGAAAGAGAAGAAGAAAAUAGAGAGGUAGAAUUCUUCAGGAAUAUUAAUCUGCUAUUACUUCGUUCAAAAAUGUGUCUGUAUUAAUCAGAUAUAUCCUUUUAGAUCAGUGUCAAAAUGAGAAUCUUUAAGUUGAGGAAUUGACGUACAAUUGAUUCACGAACUUCCAACUGAUACCAUAUUGGAAAAUUUAGCUAUUUAGCUCUAAGACUGUCUGAAUGAUUACAUUCCAAUUUACAGAAUUCAUAGGAAUUCGUUUGGUACAUUGAGAAGACCAUGUUUCUCUCUUUCUUGGAUGGUGCUUAGCUUCAAUUGACUCAACAGAAUAUUGCCUGAGCUGCUGCUUUGGCAAAAAUAGACUGAUAGAGGCACCAUGUGGAAUCAAUGCGACAACCCAACGUUGCAAGGCUUCAGAAACUAAUUUCCAAGGGUGAGGAAUGGGUAGGAUGGUGUAAGACGAAGGUCAAGAAUGAAGAUCAUACUUUGUCCCUUGUUAGUACAAAAUCCUUGAGAUGGUAUUUAAAGUCGUACCUACCUUGACCUUUCAAAUUGCUAAUUGAACAGGAUUUAAGUAACUCUUUUUCACCUUUUCUUAAGCAUUAGCAAAAUGAAAAUAAAGCUACUACAAUUCGAUUUGGGAGUUUUUAAGUCAAUUUACUAGUUUAAUACCUCUCUAUGAUGUUCGUUUGCAUGAGUUAUACUGGAUUGCUGUUUGAUUACUUUCUUCUGAGUGAUUGACAAAAUACCACUUGGUUUCUUUUUGGGCAAUUUUAGGUUCUCCGAAUAAUAUGUUAUGUACUUGGUUCUAAGGAUAAAGGAUUAAGUUCUGGAGCAUAUUUUGUUGUCAAAAUGGCCACAAUAAUAUUAACACUAUUGCUUGAGUCGUGUGUAGCACUAUUCUAAGAAACUAUUUUAUGAAAUUGAAAUGUCUUCCUAGGAUUAAACAAGUCUUCUUCUAUUUGUUGCAAACAAGAAAGACAAACUUUCUUCUUAUUGCAAACUAGAAGGACCAGAACUAGCAAAUUAAACCAGCAGAUAUAGAGAGAGAAGAUGAGAACUGAAUUGUCAGGAAGGUAUCAACUGACAGAAAUAAAAGAGAGAGAGAGAGUCAGAGCAGCUAUCAGAAAGGUAUAACUGAAACUGCUGAGGCAAGUUUCUGAGGAGGGAAUGGAUGCUAUUUAUAGAUUUUAGAAUGAGGUGCAACCCUUCUCACUUCCAAUGUGGGACAAAGACUGCAAUUCUUCUCACUUCUCGAUGUGAGACAGAGAAAGCAAUCCUUCUCAUUUUUCGAUGUGGGACAAAACUUUUGAAAAACGCUUAUAUUUUACAACAAUUUCCUUCCUAUUUCAAAAGGUUUUUUGGACAAAAGAUAAGAAAAUAAUCUGCUGGAUUUAUUUGGGUGAAAUGUAAUUCGUUUGGUGUCUUUUGGUCUAUGAACCAAACUUAGAUUGAUAAAACAUGACCUAUAGAAUUAUUGAUGAAAUAUAAAUUUCUAUGAACAAUAACUUUUGAUGUAUGACAUAGAUUUUAUCAAUAACAUUGCAAUCUAUAAUUUGUUGUUAACGCGAUUUUGCGCUUUUAGGUUGUGCGCCUGCCUAGUUAUUCAUGAGAGCUCUAAAGAUUUGACCAAUGAAUCUUAUAGGAGCGGCCCCACUCCACUCUGGUGAAUUCAUCAAGUGUGUAUUGCUUUAAAUACACCUCUCUAAUGGGAUAUGAAUUCAUUAAGAGUUUUAACUCAUCCUUACAAUUACUCGAAACACUUAUCUCCGGAGGGACUUAAAUUUGAAAUGCUUUACCGUCAAUAUUGACUUGUUAUUACCCAUAUGAACCUACUUCACGGGAUCACAAAUCACAUAGGUUGGGUUACCGUCUCUAUUGACAACUUGUUAGUCGAAGUCUCAUUUCUUUUGAAGUUUGAAGAAUCAAUUUUCUUCCUACGGGUUUAGUCAGAGGAUCGGCCAAAUUCAACUAUGACUUCACAUAAUCAAUGGAAAUAAUUUCAUCUCUAAGCAGCUGCUUUACGACAUCACGUUUCAAUCUCAUGUGUCGACUUUUACAAAUAUAUGAUUUAUUUUUAACAAUAGCAAUAGCCGCUUGACAAUCACUAUGGAUAGGCACGGGAGGCAACAAAUCCUUAUUUGAAGGAAUAUUGGCUAAAAAAUUUCUUAACCAAUCAACCUCAGAACCAGUCAACUCCAGAGUUAUAAACUCUAACUCCAUAGUUCACCUAGCAAUGACUGUCUGGUUGGCUGACUUCCAUGCUAUUGCACCACCACCAAGGGUGAACACAUAACCACUAGUGGAUUUUGUAUCAUUUGAAUCAGAGAUCCAAUUAGCAUCACUGUAUUCUUCUAGUACAGUGGAAAAUCCACUAUAUAAAAUACCAUAAUUUAUGGUACCUCUCAAAUAUUUCAUUAGACUGACCAAUGCAAACCAAUGCUCACGAUUGGGAUUAUAAAUAUAUCUACUCAGUCUACAUACAACAUAGACUAUAUCUGGUCUUGUAAAAUUCAUUAAAUGCAUUAGACUCCCAAUAAUCUGAACAUAUUUCGACUGAGUGAUUGGGCCACCAUUAUUUUUCUUUAAUUGAGUGUUAGCAUCAUAGGGAGUGCUUACGGGUGUCACAUCAUAGUUUUCAAACUUCUUAAAAUCUCUCUGUAUAAUGUUCUUGUGACAACAUUAUACCAUCAUCUCUCCUUAUAAUUUUAACACCCAAUAUCAUUUUAACUUCAACCAUAUCUUUCAUAUCAAAAUUGGAAGACAAAAAUUCUUUAGUACUAUUGACAAUAUUUAGGCUAGUACCAAAUAUAAGCAUGUCACCCACAUACAAACUAACUAUUACAUAUUGAUCAUUUACAAUUUUAACAUAUACACAUUUAUCCACUUCUACAGACGAAAAUUCGUCUUUGAUCAAUAUUUGAUCAAAUUUUUCAUGCCACUAUUUAGGAGCUUGUUUUAGGCCAUAAAAAGAUUUAGUUAAUUUACAAACAUUAUUUUCUUGUUCAGAAAUGAUACAUCCCUCAGGUUGGAUCAUGUAAAUUUCUUUUUCUAAAUCACCAUUUAAAAAGACUGUUUUGACAUCCAUUUGAUGAACAAAAACUUUAUGAAUAGAAACUAGAACAAAUAAAACACGAAUAGAGGAAAUUCUUGUUACUGGUGCAAAUGUGUCAAAAUAAUCAAUAUUUUGUUUUUGAGAAAAUCCCUUAACUACUAAACGAGCUUUGUAUUUAUCAAUAGAGCCAUCGGGAUUAUAUUUUCUUUUAAAAAUCCAUUUGCAAUCAAUAGGUUUUGCACCAAGUAGUAAAUCUACCAAAAUCCAAGUUUUAUUUUUCAUAAUAGAAUUAAUUUCAGUUUUAAUUGCUUCUUUCCAAAAUUUGCUAUUAGAAGAAGAAAUAACAUCAAAAUAAGUUAAAGGAUCAUUAUCAACAAGAAAGGUUUGAAACUCAUUUCCAUAGGAAAAUUCUUUUCUUGGCCGUUUACUCCUUCUCAAUUCCUCAUUAGAGGUUAUUUCUCUAUUUAUUUUAAUAGAUGCAUGAGAAAUUUUAUUAGACAGUGGAAAAAUAUGUUUAAAAAAUUCAGCAUUUUUUUGUCUCAAUGAUUGUAUUACAAUCAAGUACAUCAUUUCUUAAAACAAAAAAUCUAUAUGUUACACUAUGUUUAGCAUAUCCAAUAAACAUACAAUUAGAAGUUUUAGAAUCGAAUUUUCUUUUCUUAGAUUCAGGCAAUAACACUUUAGCUAAACAUCCCCACACUUUUAGAUAUUUCAAAUUAGGUUUAUAAUUUUUCUAUAACUCAUAAGGUGUUUUUCCCAUUCUUUUAUGUGGAAUUCUAUUUUGUAAAUGACAAACAGAUAAAAUAGCUUCCCCCCACAAAUUAUCAGGAGCAUGAGAACUAACUAACAUGGAGUUCAUCAUUUCUUUUAGUGUUCUACUUUUCCUUUCAACUACACCAUUAGAUUGUGGUGAAUAAGGUGGUGUUACUUCAUGUAUUAUACCUUCAUGUUCACAGAAGCUAUCCAAGGCUAAAUAUUCACCUCCUGUAUUUGAUCUAAUUCUUUUUAUCCUUUUACUCAGUUGAUUUUCUACUUCAGACUUAUAGGAUAAAAAGGCAUUAUGAGUAUCAUCUUUAUUUCUUAGUAAAUAAAGUUUAGUAUAUAUAGAGUAAUCAUCUAUAAAGGUAACAUAAUAUCUUUUACCUCCUCUAGUCAUAGUUUGUUUCAAAUCAUCUAAGUGUGUAUGAAUUAAAGUUAAUAAUUCAGUUUCUCUUUGGACACUUACACAACUUUUCUUUGUUAUUUUGGUUUCUGCACAUAUUUUACAUUUGUGUAUUUUAUCAUUAAUACCAGAAAUUAGGCCACUAAAUUGCAUUUUCUUUAUAUAACUUGCGUUAACAUGCCCUAAUCUAGCAUGCCAUAAAGAAAUUGAAUCAACAAUAUAAGCCAGAUGAAGAUGCAUUUUCAUUGAUCACAUUUGAAAGAAUUUGUAAAAUAGUAUGCCGACAUACCUUAUUGACAUAUUGCCAAGAUUCUUGCAUCUUGACACCCGUAGUUGUAGGUGGUUGUAUUUCUGUCGAUGCAUAGGCUACUCAAUGAAUGUCGAGUAGAAAGUGCAUACGUUCUUGCCACCUUUUGAAGUUUUUAUUGGCAAAAACUUCAAUUUUGGAUACGUCUGGAAAAGGUUUAGCCAAACGUAGUGCGACUGCAACUGAUCCUGGUACAGGUUGCGAGGUGUUAAUAUUGUUGGAGGCCAUAGUUUCUUAGAUUGUUGUCGAAAUGGCCACAACAAUGUUAACACUAUUGCUUGAGUCGUGCUUAGCACUGUCCUAAGAAAUUAUUUCAUAAAAUUGAAUGUCUCUCCAGGAUUAAGCAAACCUUCUUCUAUUUAUUGCGAACAAGAAAGAUAAGGUUUCUUCUUGUUGCAAACUAGAAGGACCAGAACUAGCAAAUUAAACCAAUAGAUAUAGAGAGAGAAGAUGAGAACAGAAUUGGCAGGAAGGUAUAAACUGAUAGAAAUAAAAGAGAAAGAGAGAGAGAGAUAGAGAGAGUCAGAGCAACUAUCAGAAAGGUAUCAACUGAAGCUGCUGGGGCCAGUUUCUGAGGAGAGAAUGGAUGCUAUUUAUAGAUUUUAGAAUGAAGUGCAACCCUUCUCACUUCUGAUGUGGGAUAAAGACUGCAAUUCUUCUCACUUCCCGAUGUGGGACAGAGAAAGCAAUCCUUCUCAUUUUUUGAUGUGAGACACAACUUUUGAAAUACACUUAUAUUUUACAACAUAUUUUAUGAGCGUAAACUUCCAGUUAGAUUCAUAAACCUAAAUAGAAUAUUAGAAAGGUCUGUUUGUUCCAGGUGUACAUAGUUUGACUUCAACAAGCACAUAGGGAAUCCUAUUUUGACAUUGGCCCUAUGAGAUGGCUCUUUACAGAUUCUAGAUCAAAUGAUCCUAUUUCUGACCCUUAGCCCUAUUUAUUUUUGGACAAAGUUCAAAUAUGAACCACCAAGUCAUAUGCCUUAUUGUUUACGUCUAUCAAACUCAAGUGUCCAAUCACGUAUGCGCCAAUGGCCAAACACAUGAAAAUACGUCUCAACCACCAUCUCAACGUCUACCUAAAUCAAUCAUCUCGAUUCUCUUACUUACAGCUUCCAUCACCAAAGUAAAUGCAAAUUCAUUUAAGUGCCAUAUGGUAUACUGAGGCACUACCCGGGAAAGUGAACAAGCUGAAAUCAGAUGACCUGAUAGCAUCAACUAUAUUACAAGGUAUAUGUACUCGAUCAGAAUAUAUCAAGAGGAGAUUAACUGGUGGGAGCAAGUUGGGAUAGUUAGGUAGAGCGUGUGUUGUUUUUGGAAUGUUUGAGUGGUGAUGUUGCUCUGCAACCCACAAACUCUUAAAGAGUAUAGUGGUAUUGGAUGAGUUAUUCCCAUUAGCUAUUCCCUUAUUUUGGUUCCAUUUGACCAAUUACUUGUUCUUUAUGAGUUCUAUAUUAUUGCCCUUGAACAAUUUAUGUAGCUCAAUGCAUUUUAAAAAUUUUCCAAUCCUGUUAUUAACUAACAUAUAUAUAUAUAUAUAAAAGGGGGAAUUCCAUUCCUCAAGAGGGUGCUUGUGUUGUUGACGUAGCGACGUGUGAUUUGCUGGAGAGUGUUCGUUUGAAAAUUACUUGGUUUCCAGUGGUAGAGUGAAGGAACCUAGCCACGUAAUAUUUGGUUGUUUGCCCAUGUGACAUAAGGUGAUUGACUUCAUGCGGCAAAAUGGAAUUGGUGGCAAGUUUAGUGGUCCUUCACUUUUUUUUUUGUUGGAAACACAGAUGUGACGUGAUUGAUUGGAGAAGGUUACCUGUUUCCUGGCUUUUCGGUGACAAUAGCUCGAGAUUUUCUCUGCCAGACACGCCUCUUCUUCACUCCUUUCAUUUGCCAUCUGAUUUCCUCUUUCCAACCUGUGCUUUCUCUUUCAUGUUGUCCUUGUUCUUCAUCACGAAGAAAGCUCAUGUUUUUCUCUCUUCAUUUUCUUUCCCAUGGAUGACAACAAAAUCGAAAACUGGCUGGAACUUUUUUUUUUUCUUCAAAAACUCUUCUUGCUUCUUUCUUCCAAAGCAUCUUCAUUAGUCUUUUAGUUUUUUUCCUCCUAUUAUUUACAAGUUUUUUUCUUUCUGAUGGACGACAACAAAAUAAAAAUACUAUCUAGAAUUUUUUUUUUGCUUCAAAAACUCUUUUUGCUUCAUUUUUCCUGAGCAUCUUUAUUAGCAUUUUGGUUCUUCUUUUUUUUUCCUAUUAUUUACGAGUUUAGUUGUCUAAUUUUUUCCCCUUGUGUGAUGUUGUGAUGCUGAAAGUACAUAAUUUGGAAAUUUUCUCCGCCAUCCUCAAGUGAUUUUGUAAAUUUUUUUUUCCCUUUUGAAGUUAGGUUCCAUAAGGUUAUUUUUAAAAAUGGGUAUUCUCACCCCCUCCGCAUCUCCAACCCUCUCCUUUUAAAGGAACAAAAUAAAAGGAAGAAACUAGAAAAAGCAUAUUAGUGUUCUUGAAAUAAAGCACUUGCUCUUCAUCUUUCUUUGUCGUUAUAAAUUUCUGUCUGAAUGUUUAUGUUUAUUAUGUGGGUAGUUUGGUUGACCACUUCUAUAUAUUUCUUGUUCAGUUUCGGAGUAUGUGGAAGGCAAAUGGCCCUUUAGAGUUGCUGGCUCGCCUGAUGGUCUUAGAGAAAGUGCAUUACGGAAGCAUUUUCGAGAUAUAAUUUAUGGUUUGAUGUAUCUUCAUUCUUCAUGCAAAUGUAAGAGAAGGACUUUUCAUUUUUUAUUGAUCUUAUAUGUUCACUUUCUUUACUCUAAGCUAACUAACUGGUUCAAUCCAUUACAAUAUUAUUCUUUCCUUGCAUAGAAAUAACUUUCCAUUUUUUUUAGGGCAAAAAAUCUGGGCGGCCAUUAAACUUUCUCAGGAUCAUGUUUUGCCAUCGAACUAUUUUUUGUCAAUAAUUGACCACUAAACAACUUAAUCAGCCACCCGUGACCAUUUCGUCGAUAAUAGCUCUUAAUUUCUGAAAUUAGCAUUACACGUGGCAAACCACAGGGGCAAUUUUGUCCGUCAAUCCACUGACCGUUCACUUACAUUAAUACAUCAACUGAAAAGAAAAAAAGAGCGGUAGAAACAAGCCAAUUAAACAAACUGAAGUGUCUGGUCUUGUGGAGGAAAAAAUAGGGACUCAAUUUCCAGCCCUAAAUUCUGUGUCAGAAAUCGAAGAAGCCAAGAAUGUCGAGACGCUCUCCUAAACCCAUACCUAGAUGCUCCUGCGGAUUAACAGCAAUGGUGAAGACCUCAUGGACAAAUUGGAACCCAGCAAGAAGAUUUGUGGUCUGCACUUUAGGAGAGGUAAGAUCUUAGAGAGGUAAGAUGUUAGAUUUGUAAUGGAAAUAUUAUAACAAGAGGAUUUAGUCUUGGAAAAUGUAAAUUGCAGGAUGAGGGAUGUGGUUUUUGGGAAUGGUAUGAUCCAACAAUGUGCGAAAGAUCAACUCAAGUGAUUCCUGGUUUGCUGCGAAGAAUGAAUAGAAUGGAAAGUAAUAUGGAGGAAUUAGAAACUUCAGCAAGAAGAUGGGAAAAUAAAGCUCAAAAAUUGGAACUUAAAGUUGCAAAAUUGGAGGGUGAAGUGAAAAAGCACAAGACCAGAGAGCACUAUCUCAAAAGAGCUCUUCUCGUACAUGGGCUUUUAUAUUGUUGUAUUGUUUUUGCUGCUAUCUGAAGACUGUUAUUAAGAGUGACCAUAUGUUGGCCAUCAAGGGAUAGUUAAUGUUGUUUGGUGAUUGUGAAGAAAUGGAGUAGUAAGGUUGAGUGGAUACAGCUUUUGGUGGUAGUGUCCGUAGCAAUAGCAGACCAAAGAUUCCCAUGUUGUAUUUUAUAGUGAAUUUUUCAUUGGUUUGUUUUCUUAUGUAAUGGAAUCCUUGCUGUAAUUGUGUUACUUUUUACUGAAUGAAUGGAUGCAAGUUUUUUGUAGUUUCUUAUGAAUGCGGCAUUAUAACACAGUAAAUUAAGACAAAAGGAGUAUUUCCAUUGGAUAAAACAACUACAAAAGUUUCCAAUUUGCAGAAGUACACAGCUUUCUGUUGAAUAUGCAAAAAGAUAGUGGAUGAAAAACAAAAGGCAUCCACCAUAACAAAACAAAAGCCAUCCACUAUCAACAUGAAGUGGAUCCCAGUUAAACUUUAAUGCAUCUAUUUUAACAGCCCACUGAACUUAAAUAAACUAUUAUAAGUCAAAAGACUUAUGUACAUAUCAGUCACCAUCAUCAACAUCUCAGAUCACAUCUAAAACUGUAUCCAAUUCCAUCUAACUUGCACCUGCACCUCUGCCUCUUGUAGAUCUAGAUCUAGAUCUACCAGCAUUUGCACCUCUUCUACCCCUCCACCUACCAACCUUGAAGGGUGGUUCCUUUCCCAAGUAGGCAUAGUUAGCAUUAAUCAUCCCUUUGUCAGCAUCAGUCAAGGGCCGUUUACCAUUUCUGUUGAAUUUCUGCCAGAUCUAGAACUUGUAGCUGCUGGAUCUGGUUGCUGAACUACUGGUAUUGGCUGUUGAAGUGGUGGAGUUGGGUGUUGGGACAUUAGAUCUGAUUGCUGAGUUGCAGAUGCGAUUGGUUGGCUUGGUUGGCUAGCUGAUGGAGUUUCCUGUUGCUGUUGCCCUUGGGUCUCUAUACCUUGUGACUGAACUACUUUUGCUUGCUGUUUUCUUCUUGAAACCUUGUACAAAUGGAAGUUGAUUAGAGACUAUAUGUAUGUAUACUAUAUGACAUUUGAAAUACAUUGAACUGUAUGUAUACUCACAUGUUUUUUCUUCUUUGGCUGGCCAGAUUGUUGGUGCUCAGUCACCUCUUUGCAUGUUGCAGCAUUGUGCCCUGUUUUACCACAUUUUCUGCAAUGCAUAGUGACAUUUUUUCUAAGUUUUCUUCCAUGGUUCUUCCCUUCUGUCUCAUCUCUUCUCCUUGCCUUUUUUGGCCUCCCAGGCUGGACAGUGGGAAUUGGAGGAUCAAGUUGAAGCAUGCUGGACUCAGGCCACAGUACUUGGCUGCUGAUGGGUUGCAAGACAUUAUUAUAAAUCUGUAAAAAUAAGCUCUUGUAGUAACAUUCCACAAUCAUUUCAUGUGGAUCAUCCUCAGUUUGCUUAAUUGCUGCAAUGGCAUGGGUACAAGGUAAACCAGAUAAUUCCCAGAUUCGACAAGUGCAACUCUUCUUUCUCAAAUUCACAGCAAACUGGGAAUUCCUUGGGCCCUUUACCUGAUAACCAUCAAUCCCAUUGAACUGUGGGAACCACUGGAAAGACUCUUCAAUUCUGUCCUCAAUAAUUUUUCUAAUCAAAGGACCAGUUGAGUGUGGAUAUCUAGUCAUGGCAGCCUUUCUUUUUUGAAUUCUUUCCAUCAUCAGUUCUCUAAUAUUCUCCAAGCAAGAUAUAAUUGGUUUAUCCCUGGCCUCUAGUAUAUGUGAAUUGAAAGAUUCGCACAGAUUAUUGACAAUCAUGUCACAUUUAGUGUGAGGAGAAAAGUAAGCCUUACACCAAUGCAUCGGAUGAGGAGCCUUCUCCACCCACUUGUAUGCUUCAUUGUCAUACUCUUUCAAGUCCUCAGCAGCUUUCUUGUACAUCUCAAUUGUGCUGCUCCUAGCUAUCGCCCACAGCACUUUUCCAGGAUGUUUCUUCUUGAAAUUUUGAUACAUGUGCUGCACACAGUAUCUAUGCUCAGAGUUGGGUAGCACCUCGGAUAAUGCUCUAUCCAAUCCCUGCACAAAAAUAAAUGAAUUAUUGGUUCAAGCAGCCACAAGUCUCACAUCAAAUGUUGGAUAAUAAGAUUCAUACCUUUUGUUGAUCAGAGAUGAAAGUGUAGUGACACUGAUUAUCUAUUUUCAGAUCCGUUUGGAGAAGUUGUAAGAACCAUUUCCACUGUAUUGUAGAUUCCUUCUCCACUAUGGCCCAAGCAAUAGGCCACCAACUAUUGUUGGGAUCAACUGCCACUGCUGAUAAUAGUUGACCAGGGUAAGGCCCUUUUAUAUGGCAGCCAUCAAGUCCAAUCACAGGUCUACACAUUUUGAAUCCUUCUUUUAGUGCACCUAAACAACAGUACAGUCUCAUGAACCUAGGAUUCGAACCUGGAUCUCUAAAUGGAGUGAACUCGACCACCAUGGUAGAAUUAGUAUGAGUCUUCUUAAUCUCCUCACAAUAUUCCCAUAUAUGCUUAUACUGCUCGACUGCUCAACCUUUGAUUCUGUCAAUAGCUAUGCCUCUAACAUUUCUGGCUAUUGUUUUCGAUAUUUGUAUCUUGUACUCCUCAUGCACUGUCUGCCUUAAAGAAUGAACUAGAAUGUUCAUAUUGGCCCUAAUUUUGUCCUCAUAUCUCUCAGCAACCCAUUUAGCAGUCAUCAUUUUAUUUUUCCAGGCAUGACUGCAGUUUUCAUAUAAUCAUAAAAGGUCUUAAUCACCAAAUCAUUCGGCCCAAGUGCUUUCUCUUGGGAAGCAUAACACUCCCAGUUGCAUGGAUCCUUGCACCUUACCCUUACUCUUAGUUCCUCAUUAGUGUAGUACCAAACAGAUCUACCAUUAGCAAUAGAAUAAUUCUGCAUUGCGGCCUUUGAACUCAGCUGAUGAUGCAAAUCGCAUCCCAAUCUGGAAAUGUGGAUUUCUCAUGUCCUUUUCAACAUUGAAGUCAACAUAUUUGAUUCCCUUCUGCACUUCAUCAUCUCAUCAGAAGAACCAUCAAUGCUAUGCAGGUCAUCCUCCAUCAUGUUGUUAUGCAACACAUCUUCAUCAGCAGCUUCUUCCAUUUCCUCAGCAGCUUCCUGUGAUGAUGUGUUAUGGUCAACCUGUGCUGAUGAUGUCUUCUCCCUUCUUGCUGACCACUUUCUUUUUCCUCUUGUUGUUUUUCUAGGAUACUUUUCUUUGCUCUCUUGCUGCCACCAGAUGAUCCAUCAGUUGCCUGUGAUUGUUUUUCAGCUUGGGCAUCAUGUUGACCAUCUCCAUGUGUACCACUUCCAAGCCAUUUACACCUUGGCUCUCAUGGAGUAUAGAUUCAGUAGUUCUCCUCAUAACAGGAGGGGGAAUUUCAACUGUGGGAGUUGGUUUCUCACUCCCAAGCAUUUGAUCAUCUUUGCAAAACUCUUCGUCAUCAGUGAAAUGCUCCCCUUCUGAGCUGCUGUCAUCUUUAUCAUCUUCUUCACUUGCCCUUGCAUUCACAUCAGUUUUAUCUCCUUGACUCCUACUUUAGACCAGUCCCGCUAGCUUCUCCCUCAAUGACAACACUUACUCUUACACCUUCACCUCUACUUGUACCUCCCAUUGCUGGUCCAGGGGCAGUCAUAUUUGUACUAACAAAAGAGCUACCAAAAAGAUUUUUUCUAACCACCAAUUGUUUAUCAAGUUCUACAACUCCACUGCCAUUGUUCAUCUACAACUACACUACCAUGUCCAUCAAUUUCUUCAAUUACAACCCUAUUUUUUCUUACUACCUAACAGUGGAAAUGUGACUGGAUGUCAAGAAUUUCAUGUAAAGGCCUAUGGUCACAGUAAACAUCUAUCAGUUUGUGCUCGUACGCCCAUUUGCACAUUGCCACUAUAUCUGCAUCUCCUUGUAACUCUUUUAAUCCCUUAUUCAAAUCACUCCCAGGUUCUAAGUAAUAGUAAAGCAUUGUACCAUUAUGUCCUAAUUUCUGAACCAUGUCAUUUAUCUCAUGGAUAGACAUUCUCUCCGCAUCACACGCAUCAACAUAAUCUAUUUCACCACCAACGUAUGUUUAUACUGAUGCCCACUAAAUCUACCACCAUGAAACAUUUUAAUACUGAAUAGUUCAGAAUUAGGCACUGCAAUGAAAUGGGAAAAAAAAAGGAAUCACUUCAUUUGAAAAAAAAAAGGCUGAAAAAAACACUUGUUUAUUUCAAAAUUUCCCACUUUUACAACCGGCAGUUGGAUGAAAACCCUAACAUUUAAACCCCAUAAUGCUGCCCAUAUUCACAACCCACAAAUAAGCACCUUCGAUUUCAGACACAAACUUGAGUAAUACACCCAUUACAUUUAGUUUAAAGUAUAGUUUCAGUUCAUUCACAUGAUUUUCCCCAAAAAAUAACUUACCGUAAAUUUCAUAUGGAUCAAUGUCGACGUCUCUUCUCCUGAUGAUCCACUCCAUAGAUUCACCAUGAUUUUCCCUUCUCUUCGAUCUUCAAAACCCUUCUCUUCGAUCUUCCUACAACGAUUUUGAGAACUUCAGUUUGUUUAAUUGGCUUGUUUCUACCGCUCUUUUUUUUCUUUUCAGUUGAUGUAUUAAUGUAAGUGAACGGUCAGUGGAUUGACGGACAAAAUUGCCCCUGUGGUUUGCCGCGUGUAAUGCUAAUUUCAGAAAUUAAGAGCCAUUAUCGACGAAAUGGGCACGGGUGGACUGAUUAAGUUGUUUAGUGGUCAAUCAUUGACAAAAAAUAGUUCGAUGGUCAAAACAUGAUCCUGAGAAAAGUUUAAUGGCCGCCCAGGUUUUUUGCCCUUUUUUUUAAAGUUUUGUUGUGAUACUUGCAGUUGCACAAUUUACUUGAUGAAAAACUACUAAAAUCGAUUUUUUUUUGUUUUCUGACAUGCUUUGAAAUACCUUUGACUGCUAAUGCAUUGUGCAUGAAGUAGAUGUUAAUCUUCUUUGUGGUAGUUUUGAGCUCAAAGCCAUCCAAAAUAGAGCUUCUUAGUGUAGUUGAUGAUCAUAUUUCAGUUUUGUUCACUACCAAGCAUUGUAAGGGAUAGGAUUUCCAUUUUUGUCUUCUACUUGCCAAUGCAUAUUGUUGCAUCCCGAUUAAGGUCUGUUAGAUAUGUAAUCACAAAAAUUUCUUAUUAUUCGGUAGUAUCCUAGCUUGUGUUAAGACUACCCUUGCCAAUUGUGCGUUUUACAUGGUUUUACAGUCUGUAUUCUCCUUAAUUAUUGCAUUCUAUAAGGCAAUAUAAGCUCUUCCCCUUUGACGGACUGCUACUUAAGCUUAUAGAUUACCUCAAAUAAUUUUGCAAUUUGAAUCAUUUAGGAAAUUUUUUUCCUGAUGUUGUUCUGUUGUAGAUAGUUUAUGGUAUUCUUACCUUCAUCUGAGAUUCUGGUAAGAUUGAAGUCUCAAAACUUGAGUGCUCUUGUAAAUUAUUUCACCUACUUAUGUGCCUAUAAUUUGCUGAAGAAAAUGACCAUUUGUUUUCUCCUAUGAUGUCUUACGUAUUCAACUUAACCUAAGCUUUUGUCUUCUAUAUCGUUUGCAUAACAUUAAAAUGUUCUAAUGUUUUGCACUAAUUUCUUUCCAAUUUCACAGAUUGUAGUGCAUGGUGAUAUUACAGCUGAUAAUCUCUUGGUAGCUGCUUCUGGGAUUGUGAAGAUUGGUGAUUUUAGUUUUAAUCAGGUUGUUAAGGUAAUGCACUGCAGUUUUCGCAAUAUUUUUACAUUAAGGGGAUCCUUACUUGGUAGAAGAACUAUGUGUCUAUGCCUGCACACUGACAUCUGGAUGUUGUUGUAUAUUCCUCUCUAUAAGAGCUCCACUUAAUUGACUGUAGCUUUUUCAUCUUGUAUAUCAUGCGCAGUUAUCACCAGAAAGACAGAAUUUGAAAAUGUUAUUUUUGUUGUGUGGUUGUUGAAGAAUUUCCAGAAUGCCUGAUCAUGUUCCAUUGAGGUGGUUUUGUGCACACCUAUAAAUGCCUUUCAGUAAGGCACAUAAGAAAGAUUAAUUAAGACUAAAUUUUUUUCUCUAGACCAAAAAAAUGCCAAACAUAAAGUAAGAAAUAGUCUUUCUUUUUUUGUUAUAGCACAUUUUUGAUAUCUUUUCUUUGUUAGAAAUAACCCUCAAUUUUGUUGGAUUGCGAGGAUCUCCUAUUGAGCAAUAUGGUGGGUUUGUUUUUGUGACCGGUGAUUGUUGUUUUAUUUUAUAGCUUUGCAUUCUAAUUUUGGUUUGUUAUGUUCUCUUAACCUGCUUUUACUUUUAUGAUGAUAACAAUGAACUUCGCUGCUCUACUGGGAUUCCUAUUUUUACCAUACCAGAGUGCUGUUUAGGUAGUUGUAUGAUUGAUGCUGAAGUAUGCUAGACCUGAGGCUUCAUUUCUGCAUACUUACGUACUUGGCCCUAUGUAUUUACAUCUUUUUUUUGGGUUAAUUAGGUUCAACCUAUCAUACCAAAGUUGUUGACAUGUUGGUAGUUGGGUUCACACGCAUGAUAAUGUAUUCCCACUGCCUCCUCACGUAAAAAUGUCCUGUAAAGAACAGGAAUGCUUGUUAUUCUUUUUGUGCCUUGUUCAUUUACUGGUUUCUAUAGUUAUUUGUAAUUGGAGAUUUGCACUUUUCGUAGAUUGUUCUUGUAUAUCCCUAAUGGAAUGAAUCCCCUGCUAAAAGACUUGAUUGAGGGGCUUUUCUACAAAGGUUUGUCUCUAGAUUAUUAGUGCUCCAUGUGUUUGAUUAGCUGAUGAUACUUAGCAGUUGAUUUCCACACACAUACUGCCAUUCCAUUCUUGUGUUCUCUUUUCCUUCUCAUAUGGUUUUGGUUCAUGUGAAUCAUUGAAAACGAGAUUAGAAACUUCGAAAACAAUCUCUUUACUACAAAACUUUUAAAAGCUGAUAAUUUUAAUAUUUGUCCCUGACCUUUUGGUGGUGUAUGGUAAGGUUUUUGCUUUGAUGGUUAGAUGAAAUUUGGCCAGGACCCUUGAGAAAAUAAAAAAUAGGCUAGAGAGAAAAAAAAAUGAAAUUAAAAAAGAAGGGAAAAAAACACAAAAGGCUAGAGAAGCUUUGGAAAAAAGAAGGAAAAACAAAUUUUGAACUGAAGGGAAAAAUCCCAACCAAUGGCUCCGUUUUUUUUAAUGUGAAAAAAGAUGAUGAAAAUUGAAGAGGAAGUAAUGGUGAUUUAAUGGAGGUUCUGAUAUUUCCCUAUGGUUCCAGAUGUUUUACUGAAAACAUUAACCUCAAAGGUUCAUUUUACCCACCGUGUGAUUAUUUUUUAAUCAAUUUUUUCCAGCUCUUUUUUUCCCCUUUUUUUGGGUCUUCUUAAACCUGUUUGCAUCUUCUUUAAUGGCAGCUAGAUGAUAGAAGAAGAAUGAACAACAACUGAUGGCAGGUUUUUCUUUUAAACCAUAUGUGUGUUUUUUUCCAAAAAUGUUUGUUGAAUUCGUAGCUCACAAAGAGCAUUCUUUUUGGUUCCAUGGAUUUUUAAGAAUUAGAGAAAUGAAGCAUUUUUUCAUGAUUGUUCAUAUAAUCUCUUUUUUUUAGCUCUCAAAAGUUUCUUCCUUUUUUUCUAUGGUUUACCCUUGCAUUGGAACUUAUGAUUUUUUUCGUUAGGUGAAAUAAUUUAACUUGUUUUUUCAUAUUCUUGGAAAGUUUAUUUCCUUUUGAUAUUGCUAGAAACUCUUCACAAUCAAGAAAUUAGAGUAAAAGAGUGUGGAUUGGCUGUUUCUCUUAAAUUGUUUUAGUUAGUUGGUAAUGAUUUUGACAUUUUUUGCCUUUUUGCAGCCAUCAAUUUUAUACUUUUUGGGCAACAUUUUAUGGCCAUGUGGGUGAAAUUCCAUCUUGGGGUCUUCUUUGUUGGAUUUGGAUCAAUAUUUUUUUAAUGGGAAUAGAAUAGAUAUCAAAAGUUUGAUUAAACAAGUAGUAGCAAAAAAUUAAGUAAUUCAGGUAAUUUUUGUGAAUAUUAAAUAGGACCAACCCUGAUACAAAAUUUAAGACCAAUUUUUAAGAUGAAUAUUUGAUUGACUUUCACUUUACACUUGCUUAUUGUUUGCUUUCUUGUUGUUUCUCUCUUUGUCAGUGCUUUGUUGUUCUACUAAGUUUCUCUAUGAUUGAUUUGUUCUGCUAAGUUUCUGUAUGCCCCUGGUCUUACUGUAAAACCCAUGUAAAUUGAUUGAGUAAAGUGAUGAUUUUGGUUAUUUGCUGGUUUCAUAAGGCUGAGGAUGUACAAAUGGAAGAAGGUUAUUGAUGUUGAAUGCACUUUAGUAUCUUUUGUGGGUAUCUUUAAUAGAGUUCUAUGUUGUUAGGAUGUUUGAAUACUUAUAAAGCCAGCAAUUUCAAAAAUUUUGUGGAAUUCAGCUUAACAUUGAUAUUAUAUAAGUCUGUCACAUAUCAUAUAUUUGUUGAGAAUCGUCCUUACUAGAAGGCAAGGAAUUUUUGACGGUUUCUUAACAAUGAAUGCUCAAAUUUCUCAACUCCUGUUUAGUUGUUGUUUGGGUUUUUCAGAAUAACUGAAAUCAUCAAUUUCUUGGUUCUUGUUCAUGUCUCUGCCUUUGUAUUUUUCACUAGUAUACAAAGAAUAAAAUUGCAGAUGAAAUAAUGGUUAUGAGGAAAUAAUUUUGAAGCGGAAUAAAGUGGUAUUAAUUCUAUAACACUAACAACUUACUAUGAGGUCUGAACUAACAUUAUAGUACCAAUGUCAACAUUUUUUUUAAAACAACUUUCAAAUUUUAUUACCUUUUCUAAAACUUUGAACUCAUAUCUUAAACGUCAAUAACUUUUGCAGCAUCAUUUUGUUUUGGGAAUUUUAGUUGUGCUUCAGUUCUGCCGUCAGUUGCUCCUCCUACAUAGAGGUUAGUUUUUCUAGCAUUCUUUUCUUAUCCUGCUAGCUUUUUUUUUAACUUGUUUUGUAUAUAUUUUGUUACUUUAUGCUUAGAUGUAAAUUUUGGGAGUUGAACUUCUUAGGAAUUUCCGUUUUGGGUGUAGCUAUGUUUGUUCCAAUAUGAAAUCAUCAGAAAACUUGUAGACCAAAAUAAGUUCAUGAAACUGAAAUAUAGCUAGGUAAAAAUCAAAGUUUCAUGCGAUUAAUUGUGCCAUUUGACUAUUAGUUGCCGUUUAGUUUGAGCCUCAAAGACUAGGAAAAAGGGUAGUUGCUGAAUCAGUAUUUUUUUUUUAAUUUUUUUGUCAGAUAUCAUGCAAAAAGUCCAGCAUAAAUGGAUGUGUAAUCAACUACAAUUGCUGAUGUAUUCUAACCUGCCAUAUAAUACAUGUACUGUUCAGCUGCUUAUCUUUUAAGGUAAACAAUUAAGUUAAAAAUUACAAAGCAUUAGCAUAUUAACAAACAUUUUGUUGCCUUUGUACUCCAUUAAAUGCCUGCUGAUUGGACAUUGCCAUGUGAGAGAGGUUGUAUCUGCAAAAACUACUUCUUUGAGCAAUAUUAAGCUUUUAAAUAAAAGUAAAUCUGCAUUGCCUGCUUGGCAGUGGCAACAUUCCCUUUAUUUUUGUCUCAUAUACAAUAAUUUCUGCUCUCUGAGCAAAUGUUACCAACUAACAGUUGGGGGAAUAUUAGCUAUAGAUUGGAUUGUGGUCAGAGUUAUUGAGGUUUCUAAGAUUAAAUUACUCCAUUACUCCCCAAGUACACAACAAAGUAGAACCUGUGAAUGUCAGUUUGCAAUUUUGAAUUAAUAUUAUACACUUGGAGAGUGGAUAUGAUUUACUUUGACAUGAAAUGGGUAAAUUUUUGUUAGUAAUAUCAUACAUGCUCUGUCAACCUUUUUUGCGCUAACAUAACACUACUACAAGGUUUCAGGAGCCUUGUCACUGUCACAUCCUAAUAGUAUUUAGAAAUCAUGUAACGAGUGUUUAGAGAAGCAACAGUAAGAAACAAUAGGGAUGCUAUGGAGCAUUUCUGUCCUUGAUAAGGCUCUGUAGUGGUUUUGCUAAAAGCUCCAAGUUCUCUGUAGGACUUGUUACCUGACAUAUUUUAGUUUUGCUCACAGAAUGUUGAGCUUCGUCUUGAAUUUGUUCAUGAGCGACUCAAAAAAAAGAUGUUUCUGGUACAUAUCAAAUCAGUGCAAACACAAUUAGCAAAUGCAAGGUAGCACUACACAGUGAUACAGUAUUCUGAAACUAAUGACAUUGCCACUUCUGUCCAGUUAGCAGGUAGCGCAAAAAAUGACUCUGUCACUUAGCCAUCAAGCUCAGAUUGUGGAGCUCAACUCCAAGUACAUGAACACUCAAUUCAACUUGUAAUACACAUUUGUCUUCUCCUAAAAGCAAAUUGCAGGAAAAUUCAUGACUGCAGGAGAAGCCAAUGGUUCUUCAAAAGUUUGCCUUCAACUUGCUAAAAAGUUCGAUGAUACAGAUAAUAUGAAAGGAGAUGACUCUUAAAAUAUGGACAGCUACUCCACCAAGAAAACAAGAUUAAGCUGAAUUCAUACUAUUCAACUUUUAUACAACUCGAACUUGAUACUUUUUGCCUUCUUGAUUUGCCAUUCUAGAUUUGACAGAUUAUUUAGAACUUUUUGAAAGGAUUAUUGCUAUAUCUACAAAUUAUGUACAUCUGUGUGUGGUUAUCCUUAGGCAACUUUUGUGGCAAAGGCUGAACUAUGUUUGGUCUCAACUUUGUAUCAAUUUUAGAUCUCGUUCAGAAGACUUUGCUCCGCCUUGAUUAUGUCUUUUUUGUUUGUUCUAUUUUCAUUGUAUGCAAAAGCAUGUUACAUCUCAUAUUUUACGCAGAAACAAGGAACAUCUUACAUUGUAUGUAGAAACAAGGAACAUCAUAAUGAUCUCAGUAAUCUUCUUAUUAUAUUGUCUUGCAUUUUCUUAACAAAUUACUUAUUUUCACUCUUAAUAAAAUUACAAAAUCGCAAAGAUAUUACUGUACCUUUAUGUAACUGUUCAUACUUAAUAUAUAAAUUUGAAUAACUGGGCAUUUUUUAUCGAGCCUAACAAUUACACCGCGCAUCGCGUGGUGUUUUCCUCCUAGUAUACAUAAAUGGAUCGAAUUAUGUUAGUGUCACCAAUGAGUAUGUAAUCACACUCUUGUUUGGCUUGCAGACUUCUGUGAAUCUUUGUAGUCCUUUUGGAUUUGAAGCCACGAUAAUUUCAGAUACUUGUUGAUAAUUGGUAGUUUUCAUUAUGUGUUAGUAGUCAUUUCCCCGUACCUGAUGAACUAUUCUUUGUUAAUUGACGACAGGUGGUAACCAAAUGUGUCUUCUGCAAUGAUGGUAAGAUGAAAAUGGAAACAGGGCUGGUUGAUUGCAGGGUCUGCAAGGGUGCAGGUUUGUUACUUUUUAACUGUGUGCCACAACUAAUAUUUCGGAACAUUAACAGGUCUAAGAAUACAUUGUUUAUAAACUUGAUAUUGUUGCAUUUUUAUCACUUCGGUAGUUAAGCUAAUAGUAUCAUUCUACAGGUUUGAUACUGUGUAAGAAGUGCGGAGGUUCUGGAUAUGCAAGACGUUUGUAAAGAACUUUAGAACCCCCAGAAUCGCUUUUCCCCUUGUAAUUGCCAAUAUGGAAGAUAAUGUCAUAUCCCUAAUUCAUUUAUUCAAGACUAUCUUCUUAGCAUCUUUACUAGGUCCACUUAACAGUUUCCAUCUUUUCUUUCUUUCUUUUUUUUGGGAUUUUUUGGGGGCGGGGGCGGGGUGUUAGUAUCAUUUUUAUCUACACUUCCUGACUUGGUCAAUACGUAAGAUUUGUAUGGCAUAUUAUCACCUGUCUGUUGCUAUAGAAACCCACAAAGGUGGAAAAAUUGUACUGAAAGUGGGAAAAUAGUAGUCCAGGUAAUCGAUCAUUUUCUUUUUGGGUAAAUUCUAUCAAGUUAACAACAGAAACAGAAACAGGAGCUGAAAGCCGGGAAGACUCGUGGAUUGUUUCUGCCCUCCAUGUUUCAACCGUGGCCAUUAACAAUUGCAGACAGCUACUUAUGCAUCUCACUUGGUCUGGUAAUCCACAAAACAUGGUAUUUGUAGCAUUUUACUGCCUUCUUCCUUCUACUCUUCCUACAAUUUCCAACCUUGAGCGAUGCUAUUGCUUAUUAAGCUCCAGCCUUUCGUGGUGAGGAUGGAAUGAUGUUUCCAUUUGCAACAAUAACACAACACCAUCCAAAAAGAACUUGUAUCAAGACUUUUGUGCUAUAUUUUCCUCAAACAAAAAAAAGGAAAAGAAACAGACUUAUACACUAGAUCGUAUAUCUAUUGAUUGCAUAAUUUGCAUUCAAAGACAUCUGAUUAUUGUUUGGGAGCUUGCAUGCAGAGACAACUAAUCAUCCUCAUUCUAAAUCAAUUGACAAACAUCUACUUUUACAAAAGUUUGGUAAUAAAAGCAAAAGCAUAUUACAUCCACAGUAUAUUGGAUCCAUACUAGCUAGGAAGAAUUCAAUUCUGUCACCAUGUUAUUUUCAAGACAUGAAUGAACCCAAUUGGCAGCCGUAUUUACUUUGUCAUUUAUGAAGAAAUCACUGAUCACUUUGCCAUCCAUUUGUCUAGAUAAGAUGGAAAUCUUAGCCAUAUCAUUACCUAAGUUUCCAUUUGACCGGCCUGCCAGCUUUCUAUUCUGACCAUGAGCAAAGACCAACAUGUAGGCCAUCUUUUGAAAAGAGUCUUACAAUGGUUAAUCUUAUCCACCCUCCUCCGGCCACCAUGAUACGAAGAAUGUCAUAUUUUCCAUUUUAAAUUUAAAGAAGUUGCACACUUGUUACAUAUUAGUACUAAAAUUUAAUUAAUACCAUUUUUCACCCAUAAAUUCACUAAUUUGAAGUAAUUAUAUUUCUUCAUGAUUUUAUAGAACCAAUCUAGAUAUGACUUGGAUAGAGAGUCAAUUCGGCUUCAACAGAAGAGCAAAACUCGAAACACCAAAAGCAACAGGUCAAAAAAUUGAAGCAACAAACCAGUAGAAGUAUAGAACUCACAAGUGAUUCAGCAAUUAGGCGUUUGGUUCAAGUGGAAGACCAAGCUUUGUCUUUAAUCCUGUCCUUUAUUUUUGGCACCACAUUAACUCAAAAGAAUUUGCUUACAUAAACAUUUCAAACCUAAUCCACAAACAUCCUAAAACGACAUAUCUUUCACAAACUAAAUGCCAACAAAAAUUCCAAUUCAGCAUGAUCAGUAGUUGAAACCCUUUUGUCCUACUAAACCACUAGGACUUUCAUCAAUACUAUUUAACCCCGCCUAUUUUUUGAUGACAUAAAAUUCUUCCUAGUAAUAUUUUUCUCUCAGACAAUUUAUCAAACACAUAAUAGACAAGUCGGAUACAGCUAUUCCGGAGGCUCCAUCGGCUGCCUCUUUCGCUGCCACCGAACCGUAUGAGGUGGACGAAUGCCGGGGAGUCCUCCGAGUCUAUAGCGACGGCUCAAUUGUCCGGUCCACCAAACCAAGCUUCGAAGUGCCUGUAGAAGACG